UCCCAUACCCCCUUGUGGUGGCAAUAAAUCUGUGUCAUUCAGUAUGUAAUCUGUACCAGCACGUUGGACAUGGGGAUAUAGUGCUGGUGCGCUGUUAUUGUUAGUCGGUAAAAUGGAGUGCUGGAUAUUACUGGGGUAGCGGGGUGUGCGUGUGCCUCCCCUUUGUUAAGCCGUCGGUUGAUACUUUUGGGUGAAUAAUUUAGCUGUUGUCUAAAGUAUCUCUGGCCUGUGUCUUGCAUUUUCUUAUGCGUUUGCAAAUCCUCCCUCAAAUCAAACAGUUGUUUCAUCCAGUUUACGUGGUCUACCUGCCAACUCUAAGCCGUGAAGAAUGAACAACAGAGCAAAAGUUCUUAGAUGCAAAUUAUCUAAGUGUGCCAGACAAUGAUACGGGAGCCGUUCAUAUGUUCAUCCAAAGCAGCUUUAAAUGUCCCGUCACGUUUCCAAUGGAAUUUAAGGUGGCGGGACUUGCCGGAGGCGGCGGCGGUCUUGCUCAGAGACCACUCCUCGCUGUACUUCAGCAUCUCCUUGCCGAGAAGGUGGAUAUAGCGCUUACUCGUCUCCGUCAUUGUCUUCGACCGGUGUGAGUUCCGGGUCCUUGAGGAUUUGCGGCGGCGAGACAUCGGAGUCCCUCCGAGUUCGUACUCACCUGUGCCUUGAGAGGAUGAACUUUCGCCGCCGAGUUAGUGGAGGAUGUGCCUGCACGCCUUCGCAGCGGUUGCGUGCAAGGGGAGGGGGGAGAGGGCAGCACCUUCAACGCGGCUAGGCGGUGGCGACUCCUUCUCCUCCUUCACGUGGCGAUGGCGACUCCUGCUCCUGCUUCACGCGGCGUUCGAUUUGGAGGCCACGGUUGCGCAUGGGACAACAGGGAGGAGAGGAGGCCCCGUCUUCACCCGUCAGCGUGGAGGCAAAUGCAGCUCCCCAUUGACGCGGCGGAAAAGCGGCUCUGAUGGCGGCGCCAGACCGUGGUCUUGGAGGAGCAAGCACCGAAGCAUCAACUCCAUUUGUGCUUCGUACUCCUCUGUCGUCGUCGCGGCCUCCGAGAGGAGGGCGGCUGCUGCGGUGGUCGUCGUUGAUGCGGCUUGUCCUCCUCGUCACCGGAGGAUAUGACUAUCUCCUUCACGGAUGAGCCGAUCGUCGUGGAAGAAGAGGGCUCUGGAAAGUGAGGACGGUGAUGCCAAGAUCUGUAGCCGGAUCCGGAUCUGCCUGCCGGCGCCGAGGCCCAGGAGUUGCCUGUCGCCAGUGAGUGGAUGAAGAAAUGAGCGGGCGUGGUGCGCGGAGAUGUGGAAAGUGUGAUGUGGGCGACGCCAUGCUUAAAUAGUCGUGGCCAGGCGGAUGGACGGCCAACCCUCUUCUAUGUGGUGCCGCGGCUGGAGUUGGUUUCUCGAGACGACAUGUCAGUGUUGAAGCGGUGUCACCCAUCUAGUCGCGUCAGUCAGCGUCACCCUCCCGUCCGGUCACAUUGAGCGACAUCAAUGCUUGCCGUUGUGGCUCUGAGCCGGCAUGACGCGAGAAGCGGCACAUCCAUGGAAGAUAUCGCGGAAGAGGGUUCUGAGUGAGACUUGGGUGUCAGACGCUUACGUGGAAGUUUGCUUCCGGUUUGCAGGAAAACAGAUGUCCGAACCGAUCUACACACGGAUGAGGUAUCGUGUUGGAUGACACAAUACGCCCGGACCGCUUGAUCCGAUCAGAUGCAGGCGACUUGAGGGUCAGCAUUGGACAUGCCUUAAGCGGCAAGAACGGGCAUGUAUUUGAUUAGAGAAACAACACUGUUAUUGGUAAUGACUUCACCACAAAUGAAUUUAAAAAACACUCAUUAGUAUAAUGUCGAUUAUCCCAGCACCAAAUGAAGCCCGGAGCCAGAGGUUUUCUGAUGGACGUGACGCGGCAGUGCAUUCGUUUAGUCCCACAUCGCCCAGCCACACAGCACAUGAGUCAAACGCGCAGUAUAAGAGUCCCAGGGCGCAGAGGAGUUUCCACAGGAGGUGCGGCCGAGUUGGUUGGUCUGAUGGUUAACGAAACCACGGCAUAGAGGCACUGCAAACAUCCGAGAUGAGCAAACUAAGCUUGUCCCAAGUUUGCAGUCCUCGAUGUCGUAGUUUUGUUUUUCCAUCUAUUUUUACAUUAUAAAAUUAAAAUUAAAUUAGUUUUUGGGCUCAUAAGGCCCAACCAAUGCCAAGCUUCAAACUGUUACUGCUCACUCUCGUGAGUCACGAGCCAAGCAGAAAGCCGCUUGCUUCGUCUGAACUUUCGUGCACUCACGCAACCACACAGCAAGUCCACAACAGCAACCUCAGCACAAAAGAAAGAAAAAUCAACAACACUACCACAAAACAAAAAAACUGCAUCACGACUUUGCUGCGUACGCAACAGAAACUGAAGACAUACCGGCCCAAAACGACCCAAGAGAUGAAUGGUAUUUGUUUCAGAUGAUAAAAACUGGAGAGAAGGUCUAAAACAAAUUGAAUUUGCUAAGCGUAUCCCGUGAUGGCCCCGGUUGCAGAUGGUGAUGAUGGCAGCGGCUGCCACCUUGUGACUGGAUCGAUCCGGUUAUGGUAGGGCAUUUCUAACCGAAUCCUUUUAAAAUUAGUGAAGUAUAUGGCAGAGUAAAAUUAGUGGAAUAAAUUUUUACUCCACUAACUAUGGCUGCAUCUAGCUGAUCCUUUAUAGUGGGUGAAGUAAAAAUUAAUUUGUGUAGAUUUUGUGUCCUAACCGCACAAACUUCAAACACUAGAUAAUACAUAUCUUAAAAACAUUCAAAUUGAAACACGCCUAACAUAAUCGUCAUAACAUAAAUCUUCGUCAUCAUGUUUUUCAAACUAAAACAUGCGAAGUUCACCCACAAGACAUCACUACAAACACAAUGUUUGAUCCAAAAUCAUCACAAACAUAGUUUGUAUAUGCCGUGGAUCGAGCCAACCAAUGGUAUGCACCACCACCCCCUCGGCCACCACCACUCAAAUGAUGUCGUCGGCGAAAAAAUCAACGCCACCAUCCUCUCGGCCAACAUCAUCACCGCCAUCCUCUCGGCCACCACCAUCAACACCAUCACCGCCAACGCCCCCUCAGCCACCACCAUCAANNNNNNNNNNNNNNNNNNNNNNNNNNNNNNNNNNNNNNNNNNNNNNNNNNNNNNNNNNNNNNNNNNNNNNNNNNNNNNNNNNNNNNNNNNNNNNNNNNNNNNNNNNNNNNNNNNNNNNNNNNNNNNNNNNNNNNNNNNNNNNNNNNNNNNNNNNNNNNNNNNNNNNNNNNNNNNNNNNNNNNNNNNNNNNNNNNNNNNNNNNNNNNNNNNNNNNNNNNNNNNNNNNNNNNNNNNNNNNNNNNNNNNNNNNNNNNNNNNNNNNNNNNNNNNNNNNNNNNNNNNNNNNNNNNNNNNNNNNNNNNNNNNNNNNNNNNNNNNNNNNNNNNNNNNNNNNNNNNNNNNNNNNNNNNNNNNNNNNNNNNNNNNNNNNNNNNNNNNNNNNNNNNNNNNNNNNNNNNNACCACCCCCUCUCGGCCACCACCAACAUUCCAAAACAUGGUUUUGGUUUGAUCCAUUCCGAUCGUAGUAUCCAUGAAGAUCACACACCAAACAUCGCAAAGAGCAAUAUCCUCCUUUUGGUUGUAGUUUUGUGUGCGGCACCUUGGCACCUUCGUGCUUGCUUCGGUCACCUCCACAACCUCCUCUUCCUCGGCCACCACCUCUAGGGCCUCCUCCUCUUCCCCAGCCACCUCUUGCUCCAUGCCUUGGGUGGCCUCCGAAUGAUCCCAAAACGAGUCGUAGUUGAGCUCAUCAAGUCCAACGGCGGCCGAGGACUCCAAGGAGGCGAGGAAUUCGGCCGUGUUCAUCUCAGCACUACAAUAAACAAAGCAAACACUACCAACAAUCACUAUCGGAUAUGAACAACACACGAGGUUUUGUUUUUACCUUGUAGGCAUUUCAUCGAGCACUUGGCGACCGUGGUGCUUGUUGCCGGCUGCGCUGCCCGCCCGCGCCGAAGCAGUGGCCAUAGGAGGCGUCGGAGUAGCUGCAUGAGGUGCCGGCAGAGGAUGAGGUGCCACUUUGGCUUUCUUCAUCUUCUUCGUCGCGGCCGCCUCCACAAGUGCCGCCGUCGGCGGCUUUCGAGCUCGUUUGCCUCUGACGGGUGCGGCGGGCCGUUGCCAGAGAGGCGGUGGCCACCCCAAAGGCCAUCGGGGUGGUUGGAAGAGGAGCUUGGACACGAUGGGGUUUUUUUAUCCCCAAACUCUUCUUCGGCGCGGGCAGUGGCGCAUGGAUGAUUUCCGACGGCGAUGGCCGGAGGGGUGAGGGAAGGGUCCGGGCUAUCCAUUCCGGUCGGCCAGAUGGUCAUUGGUGGUGGCAGCGGGGCGCAGCGGCUCCGGCAGCGGGAGACAAGGCGGUGUGGGGUGGGAGAAAGAGAGAGGCGCCAAUUUUACUCGGUCGUCGCGGGAGUGAGUAAAAAAUAGGGAGAUUUGGAGGGAUAUUGGGAGUUGGAGUAAAUUUUUUACUCCAUUAAGCCGGAUAGGUGAUCGGCUAGGUGCGCCAUAAGGGAGUAUAACCGAUUUUUUACUCCCUUAUGGCCUUUUAGGGGAUGGAUUAUAAAUGCCCUUAGAGGCUUUGCAUUCAGUAUGGCGCGCCGUGUGCCCGACGCAAUUGAUCAUGUAGGCUGUUGGAUGGUCCGGACAUGAACGACUCAAGCUUUGAUGGUAUCUGCUAGAUCUGCUACACGGGUUUUUGGCGGCUCCUUGACGGCCUUGGCGGUGAUAGGCGAGAAGAUGUCUCGCCCAUCCGCUAGCAUUACCACCUCCUCUCCCGUCGCCGGUGGUGGGGCCUCUUCUGAUAGACACCACAGUGGCUCUGCGACUACAUGUUGGUGCAAUUUUUGGAAGAUUCGUCUGCAAAAUGAUGCUUGGAGCGUUGCUUCAUGGCCGCGGUGAAAACUCUUGUGUAGGGCUUCAUUUGUUGUUGAUGAGUUCGACCCAGUCUCCUUACAUCGACUUUAAUGAAAUAUGCAUCUGUAUAUCUAGGUAUGGAGAGGUCAAGAGGUUAGUCCUUCCUGAUACGUGGAAGCCUAGGGUCAUCACCAUGGUUUUGGCUCCAUUCCCAAGGGACACACAUCAUGUAUCGAAAGAGAAUUCUAUAAUUUAUGCGUGCCUACUUGGGUUUCUCAGGGACGGUGGCUUGCGGCAACACUCUUCUUCUCUGACCAUGUUGGAUGAAUACGACAUUGUCGGGAUCUAGCUGACUUGGGAUGAUCCUCGGGCGUGACGUGCCUCAAAGACUCGGCUCCAUCGUGUGCGCCGGGCUGUUUAAUCGGCUCACACAAUAACAUGGUCUGCAAUGGAGCUCUUUCAGAUCUGGGUGUAGAGGUUGCUCGCGUCUUUCUCUGGUGGUGCCAUAGUGGCGACGACGAUUGACGAAGGGCGAUGAUUAGUUUUGGCACAGGGAUCUCCCGGAGUUAAGUUGUAUUUUUUAUUUCCGAUAUCUUCUGUGCAGUAGACCAUAUUUGACAUAAGAGGAGCCAGUAAAGAGAGAUAUGAAGGACUGAAAUAUCACAAAAGAACUAGUCAUUGAGUGUAUGGAAGUUAGCUACCCAUAUGCUAGAACCAUAACUAGGCCCCCUUUGUCUUUUUGAGUGUCCAGAUAUGUAUUCAUUAUAAUUUGCAACAUGUGAUAAUUUAUCUAAAAAUCUAUAUAAGAAGGUGUUUUCUUAGAACAACAUAAGAACUUGUGGUUCACUGAUUUCUUUUAUUUGCGAAUCACAAACUAUCAUUGCUUACUCAACAAGAUUACAAUUCGUUUGAGAUACAAGGAGAAAGAAAAGCAAGGAUAUAGUUCACCCAUAAACAUCUCCUCCUAUACAGCGGCGGAGCCAGGAUUUGAGCAUAGGGGUGCCAAUCCUAGUUGCUAAGAUUUCUUUGUCUACGUUGUUACUAUCAUAAUACUAUAAUAAUGUGACCAAGUGAAACUAUAAAAACAUACUUAUCUCUACUCCUAUAAAAGACUCAGUUGGUGAUGAUGGUGUGUCUGCCAUCCGUCAUUUUUGACCACAAGAUCUGCAUCUAACGACUGUGAUGUAAGCUGUGACCUUUUUGCAACAAUAUUCCACUUCUCUAAUUUACAGAAAACCCAUUAGUAUCUUGAAACCAACCACAUUCCUCCCUUACCCCAUCAAAAUAGUCCAAGAAAUAUAUUUUGAGCGAUAAGCUAUUUUUAGUGAUAUAUGUAUAUCAAAACUAGAUUGUUUUCUUUCAAAAUUGUGACUAUGUAUUAUUCUACUUCGGCUCCGUUGCAACGCACGGGCACAUUGCUAGUAUUUCUAUUAGAUUAAACUAUUUCCUCUACACUUGUUCUUUUAGAGGUCAUCUACACUUGUUAGUAAGGUGAAACUUUGUCAAAAGAAAACUUAACUGCUAGUUCAGUAUAAAUUAUUCUGCAAUGCCGAAGUAAGCCGCCUUCCAUUUUAGUUCGAAUUAAUAUUGUUGGCGCUUAGCAGGGUUUUUUCUCUUCAUAACUUCAAGUCUUAAAAUUUGCACCAAGAUCAAACAAAACACAAUCAAAAGAAUUAGUUUAUGUACAAUUUGACAAGUAUAAGACAAUUGUUUUUAAAGAAUUUAGUGGAGAGUGGUCAGUAAUGCAAACAUUGGCCAGUUGGAUGGCGACCAAGAGAGCGCCGAAGGCCUACCUCCAGCUGCUGCCAUUCCUUCUUAGACGGUUGUGGCCUGAGGCACUUCUUGACAGCGCUGACGCCCUUCCUGAUGUAGGUAUUCGCUUGGAGCUAGUUUGGUUCGUUACCUGGGCUACCUGCUUGAAGAAAACUAGCGCCUGGCCUGGGGCUUGAGACGGCGCCGGUUUGUGCCUGGCCAUGCUAGCCUGGCCUUGUAGUGUUUGGAUUCAAUCCUAGCCUGGCCCGUACUCUCUAUUUUAAAAAUAUAUUUAAAACCUGGCCCAUACUACUUUUGUCUCCUGAUUAGGCUCCAAGCAUGGAAGAAUUGACGCCUGAACCAGGCUGAACACGUUGCCUGGGCAAACAACUUUAUAUUAUAUUAUUUUAUUUGAAUGGGCUAGGCUAAUCACGUUUCUGGGAAGGGCCAUGCCAGGCAACCAUUUUCCAUUUCAGGACACAAACCAAACAGUCUUCAGGCAAGCUCCAGGCACAUGCCAGGCCAGACAUUUUGUGGACACGAACCAAACUGGCCCUUGGUCUUCCUGACUUCCUGGCAUGGCUGAGCAGUUGCUUGUUCUUGUGAUGAAGGCGUAUAUCACGGGGUAGGAGGUGGCAGGAGGAUGACACGUUAAUGUUAUGCUCCUGGAUUUCUAUCCAGCCCCCUUUUGUCUUCGGUCUCUGCUCUCUUGUCCUUCUCGGCCCUCCAGGCCCGGUCCAGCAGCCGGGAGCGUCGUGAGGCCUUGGGCCUUCUUCCUGGGCUGGGCUGCUGCAUAACACUCCCCACCCCUUGAGGAGCGGCUUGCCCCCAAGCCGUCAGACAUGGAAACUGAUGCAUCACCAUUGCGUCUUCCCAAGUGUCGUGCGUGUCUGGGCGAUCCUUUCAGUGAAUCUUGAACUUUGGCUUGACCGCGCCACCUUUCUGAACGAGCUUCAUCUGCAAGAUUGUCGCAGGUUGAAGUAUUGUCAGGCUCCUUUGUUCGACCAUGCCCAUGUCUGGCUCGACGGAGAACCGUGGAGGAACUUGCUUCUUGAGCUGGGAAACAUGGAUGACGUCAUGGAUCCUGGAGUUGGCUGGCAACUUGAGCUUGUAAGAGACUGCACCGACUCGCUGGAGGACUUGGUAUGGCCCAUAGAACUUCAGCGCAAACUUCUGGUUACGGCGUGCUGCGAGGGAGUUCUGGAGGUAGGGUUGAACCUUCAAGAACACUUGAUCACCCACUUGGAAGGAGCAUUCGCGAUGCUUGUCCGCUUGCCGUUUCAUCCUUGCUUGAGCUUGCGUCAAGUGUUGUCGUAGUAGCUCUCUAAUUGCUUACCGAUCGGCCACCAAGUCUUGGAGGUCAGUUGUGGACGCCGGAGCUGAUAUCCCAAAUGGUCGAGGAAGAUACCCAUAUAGUGCUUCAAACGGAAUACACAUCCCGCUGCUGUGUGAUAGGAUGUGUUGUACCAAUGCUCUGCUGCUGUCAACCAUUUGGACCACUGGGCAGGCUUGUCAUGAAUCGAACACCGAAGAAAAGCCUCGAGACACUGAUUGAGGCAUUCAGUCUGACCAUCUGUCUCAGGGUGUCGGGAUGAGAUCAUGUUGAGGAUGGUAUCUGAAAGUCAAAAUAGUUCCUGCUAGAACGUACUUGUGAAGACGGGAUCCCGAUCGGAGAUGAUCCUUGUUGGCAUGCCAUGGAGGUGGUACACUUGAUCGAAGAACAUGAGGGCCACCUGGUGAGCUGUGUAUGGUUGCUUGAGCGGCAGAAAGUGGGCAAACUUGGUGAGCUUAUCAAUGACAACCAAAAUCACUUCAAAGCCGUUUGACUUGGGCAACCCUUCCAUGAAAUCCCAUCUUAUAGUGUGCCACGGAUGAGGGGGAAUCUCAUGAGGUUGAAGAAGUCCAGGGUGACGACAGUGUUCCAGCUUGGCCUGCUGACACACGGUGCAACCUUGCACAAACUCCGUAACAUCUCGUUUCAUCUUGGCCCAGGCAAAGAGUUUCUUGACACGCUGAUAUGUCGCAAGCACCCCCGAAUGGCCGCCAGGUGCAGUGGCAUGGAGGGACUGCAUAAUGUGCUGCUACGCCAAAGGGUUUUGGCCAACCCAAAUACACCCUUUAUAGAGAAGCACACCAUUAUCCAAUGAGUAGCCCUUGUCAUUUCUCCCUGUUACUGAUAGUUCGGUCAAGAGUUACUUGGAACUGGUGUCCUCCUCAUAGCCAGCAACCAGGAUUUCCAUCCACGAGGGUGUCCUCCUCAUGGCGAGUAUGGACUGUUGCUUGUCUCGGCGGGAGAGAGCAUCCGCCACCGCAUUUGUGAUGCCACACUUGUACUGGAUAGUGUACUCCAAUCCCAUCAGUUUGACAAAGGCCUUGUGCUAGAUCCCCGUGCUCAAUCUUUGAUCGGCGAGAUGCAAGAGGGCUUGUUGAUCUGUGUGUAUUAUGAAAUGUUGGUGUUGUAGGUACGGCCUCCAUUUGUCCACGACCAUCAGGAUGGUGAGGCAUUCCUUCUCGUACAUGCUGAGUGCUUGAUUCUUUAGACAGAGCCCUUUGCUCAAGUAAGCCACUGGGUGUCCUUGCUGCAUGAGGACUGCCCCGAUGCCAUCCUUGCAUGCAUCGGUCUCCAGGACAAAUGGUUGCUAGAAAUUGGGUACUGCCAACACCGUAGCUGCAAUCAUUGCCUUCUUGAGCAGCUGGAAUGCUAUUUCUGCUGGCUGUGUCCACUGGAAAAUUUCGCAUUUUUAACAGCUCUGUCAGUGGUCGACUAAUCACGCCGUAAUGCUGAAUGAACUUCCGGUAGUACCCCGUGAGACCCAAAAACCCUCGAACAACCCGGACAGAAGUGGGAAUAGGCCAAGUCUGCACUGCGUCAACCUUUGCCGGAUCAGUAGCCACACCCGCAACACUGAUGACGUGCCCGAGGUAUUCGAUCCGAGGCUGGCGAAGGCACACUUAGAGCGUUUGAUCACCAGAUCAUUAUCCCGCAGCAGUUCUAUUACUUCAUGUAGGCGACGUAGGUGUUCCUCUAAGGUAGCUGUAUGCACCAAAAUAUCAUCCAUAAACACCAAAACACCAUGCUUGAGCAGAGGAUUGAGAACCUUGUGUAUCGUGCUCUGGAAGGAGUCGGGUGCACGCGAGAGGCCAAAGGGCAUUACCAGGAACUCGUACAUGCCCUGGUGGGUGCGGAAGGAUGUUUUGAACACAUCCUCAUCGGCCAAUCUUAUCUGAUGAUACCCUUAGAGAAGGUCCAGCUUGGUGAACCAUUUUGCGCCUGAGAUCUCGUCCAACAGCUCAUCCACCACAGGCAUUGGAUGUUUGUUAUUGACCGUGAUUGCAUUCAGUUGGCUAUAGUCCACACAGAAACGCCACGUGCCAUCCUUUUUGCGCACAAGUAGCAUUAGGGCAACAAAGGGACUCAAGCUGGGGCGGAUGAUACCAUUAUGGAGCAUCUCUUUGAUUUGUCAUUCAAUUGCAUCCUUCUGCUGGGGUGUGUACCGAUAUGGUCGUGCGCUUACUGGUUGUGCAUCUGGAAUCAAGGGAAUGGUGUGAUCAUCCGCUCGGUGAGGUGGUAGGCUUGACGGGGUGCGAAAACAGUCUUCAAACUUCAAUAGCAAGGACUGCACUUCCGGGUAAACUGGGUCCUCCUGCUCGGCCGUGUGCAUUGCCAACAAGUCCUGCUCCUGGUGGAUCGGUUGGAUUUGAACUGCCUAUUGAACUCCUCCUCUGCGCAGCAAGCCUUGCAUCUUCUUUACUGACACCUGCUUGCACUUGCUCGAUGUCGGUUGUAUCCCUUUCAGGGUAAUUCGACGCCCUUCAUGAGUGUACCUCAUCCAUUUCCGCUGCCAAUGCACCCACAUAGGACUGUGGCCUUCCAACCAAUCUGCUCCCACGAUGAGAUCAUAACAGCCGAGAGGAAGCACCUUCAUAUCUUGGCAGAAGGUGCGGCCUUGUGUCCACCAUGUCAAUUGUGGCACCCUAGAGGAACUUGUUAGAACAUCACCACCAGCAAUUAUAAAUGAGGCGGCCGGUAUGGUCUGAGUAGGAAGUUGAAGUUCUGUCGCCAAAGCUGCAUCCACGAACGACCAGUUUGCCCCAGAAUCAAUCAGAAUGAGGACCGUACGCUUGCCAAUCAUGCCCUGGUGGCGCAUAGUUCUGCAUUUGGCAGGUGAUGUAGUGGAACUUGAACUGGCAAGCAUCAUCAUGUCUUCUUCUGAACUAGAAUCCGACAUGUGUUGAGGAUCAGGAGCAUCAUCCAACUGCAAAAUUUCCAGUAAUUCCUCCAUGAUGUGAAGAGGCACCUUGUCGGGGCAUUUAUGACCUCUUGCCCAUGGUUCGCCACACUUGAAGCACAAGUUCUUGGCCUUGCGGUAAGCCCGUAGUGCCUCCAACUUUUCUGUCACCUUCCGCGGUUCCGCUGGUGCAGAUUGGUGCUUGUUUUUGUCCGCAUUACUUGCUUGCUUGGCAAACGAUCAAUGACUAGACUUAGAGCUGCUGUCUGCCUUGUCGUUGUCCAGCUCCACUUCCUGCAACAAUGCUAGACAACUAGCAGUAUCAACAUCCUCUGGUUGAUGCAAUAUAACAGCAGUACGAAUUUCAGAACGGAGGCCUGCUAUAUAUCUCUCAACAAAGAACACCUCACUAGUGUGUGGGUCUGCAAGAAGGAUUUGGUGUCGCAGGGUGUGAAAUUUAGAAGUGUACUCUUCUACUGAGCUAGUUUGACUAAGCAACAACAACUGGCGCAUGUGGAAUUUGUGCUUAUUCUUCCCCCACUUCUCCUGAACUACAGUGUGCAGGUCGUGCCAAUGCACAAACUGCCGGUGUUUCUGGGCCAUUUCAAGCCACAACGCCGCAUUCCCAAUACAGUUGAGAGCGACAAACUUGACCUUCAUUGGCUCAGACACCCCAUAAAUCUCGAAAUACAGCUCGCAAUUGUCCAACCACACUUGGUAAUCUUUCCCAUCAAAUUUAGGGAAAUCCUUCUUGGACGUGCUGCCCAAGUGUGGUCGAGGAGUAUGAUGCGAAACCCACGCUCAUCACAAAAGGAGUCCCGAUCGACGAAUGGGGCGAAGGAGGGCAUACCAUUGGCCGGAGGCGGAUUCGGGGAUCGGGGAUCCUCUAAAAUCGGGCCCCAUUGCUGGUGAUGCCCGCUGUGCCCACAGGGCCGACCCCCGCCAUGCGCGUGCACCACCAUGGUCGGAGGUGUCGUGCUCGCACCGGCUGGACCUUGGGGGCGCGUCGGCGGUGACUCGAGCGCCUCCAGUUGUGUCGCUGCAUCCUCGACGUGGAGCUGAAGAAGUGGUGCAGAUUCGGAGAGGCUCUUCGUCAUGGAAUCCAUGGUCUUCAUCCACGCAGUCAUGCCCUUUAGCUGUUCGACGAUAUCGUCGACCUUGGCGUUGGUCUCCACGUUCUGCUGCUCCACCUGAAGGAAAUAUGCCAUAGAGGCAAUAAUAAAGUUAUUAUUUAUUUCCUUAUUUCAUGAUAAAUGUUUAUUAUUCAUGCUAGAAUUGUAUUAACCGGAAACAUAAUACUUGUGUGAAUACAUAGACAAACAGAGUGUCACUAGUAUGCCUCUACUUGACUAGCUCGUUGAUCAAAGAUGGUUAUGUUUCCUAGCCAUAGACAUGAGUUGUCAUUUGAUUAAUGGGAUCACAUCAUUAGGAGAAUGAUGUAAUUGACUUGACCCAUUCCGUUAGCUUAGCACCUGAUCGUUUAGUAUUCUGCUAUUGCUUUCUUCAUGACUUAUACAUGUUCCUAUGACUACGAGAUUAUGCAACUCCCGUUUACCGGAGGAACACUUUGUGUGCUACCAAACGUCACAACGUAACUGGGUGAUUAUAAAGGUGCUCUAGAGGUGUCUCCGAAGAUACUUGUUGGGUUGGCGUAUUUCGAGAUUAGGAUUUGUCACUCCGAUUGUCGGAGAGGUAUCUCUGGGCCCACUCGGUAAUGCACAUCACUAUAAGCCUUGCAAGCAUUGUAACUAAUGAGUUAGUUGCGGGAUGAUGUAUUACGGAACGAGUAAAGAGACUUGCCGGUAACGAGAUUGAACUAGGUAUUGAGAUACCGGCGAUCGAAUCUCGGGCAAGUAACAUACCGAUGACAAAGGGAACAACGUAUGUUGUUAUGCGGUUUGACCGAUAAAGAUCUUCGUAGAGUAUGUAGGGGCCAAUAUGAGCAUCCAGGUUCCGCUAUUGGUUAUUGACCGGAGACGUGUCUCGGUCAUGUCUACAUAGUUCUCGAACACGUAGGGUCCGCACGCUUAAAAUUCGAUGACGAUUUGUAUUAUGAGUUAUGUGAUUUGAUGUACCGAAGGUAGUUCGGAGUCCCGGAUGAGAUCGGGGACAUGACGAGGAGUCUCGAAAUGGCCGAGACGUAAAGAUUGAUAUAUUGGACGACUAUAUUCGGACAUCGGAAAGGUUUCGAGUGAUUCAGGUAUUUUCGGAGUACCGGGGAGUUACGGGAAUUCACUGGGAGAAGUAUUGGGCCUUAUUGGGCCAUACGGGAAUAGAGGAGAGAGGCCAAAAGGAAGGAGGCGCGCGCGCCCCCUCUGGUCCGAAUUGGACAAGGGGUGCAGCCCCCUUUUUCCUUCUCCCUCUCCCCCUCUUUCCUUCUCUCCUACUCCGGAAAGGAAAGGGGAAUCCUACUAGGACUUGGGAGUCCUAGUAGGACUCCGCACACUUGGCGCGCCCCCUCUAGGGCCGGCCUCUCCCUUGCUCCUUUAUAUACGGGGGCAGGGGGCACCCCAUAGACACAACAAUUGAUCUCUUGAUCUCUUAGCCGUGUGCGGUGCCCCCUCCACCAUAAUCCACCUCGAUAAUAUCAUAGCGGUGCUUAGGCGAAGCCCUGCGUCGGUAGAACAUCAUCUCGUCACCACGCCAUCGUGCUGAUGGAACUCUCCCUCAAAGCUCGGCUGGAUCGGAGUUCGAGGGACGUCAUCGAGCUGAACGUGUGCUGAACUCGGAGCUGCUGUGCGUUCGGUACUUGAUCGGUCGGAUCAUGAAGACGUACGACUACAUCAACCGCGUUAUGCUAACGCUUCCGCUUUCGGUCUACGAGGGUACGUGAACACACUCUCCCCUCUCGUUGCUAUGCAUCACCAUGAUCUUGCGUGUGGGUAGGAUUUUUUUUGAAAUUACUACGUUCCCCAACAGUGGUAUCCGAGCCAGGUUUUAUGCGUAGAUGUUAUAUGCACGAGUAGAAUACAAGUGAGUUGUGGGCGUUACAAGUCAUAUUGCUUACCAGCAUGUCAUACUUUGGUUCGGUGGUAUUGUUGGAUGAAGCGGCCCGAACUGACAUUACGCGUACGCUUACGCGAGACUGGUUCUACCGACGUGCUUUGGACACAGGUGGCUGGCGGGUGUCAGUUUCUCCAACUUUAGUUGAACCGAGUGUGGCUACGCCCGGUCCUUAAGAAGGUUAAAACAGCACUAACUUGACGAACUAUCGUUGUGGUUUUGAUGCGUAGGUAAGAACGGUUCUUGCUCAGCCCGUAGCAGCCACGUAAAACUUGCAACAACAAAGUAGAGGACGUCUAAGUUGUUUUUGCAGGGCAUGUUGUGAUGUGAUAUGGUCAAGGCAUGAUGUUAUAUUUUGUUGUAUGAUAUGAUCAUGUUUUGUAACCGAGUUAUCGGCAACUGGCAGGAGCCAUAUGGUUGUCGCUUUAUUGUAUGCAAUGCAAUCGUCCUAUAAUUGCUUUACUUUAUCACUAAGCGAUAGCGAUAGUCGGAGAAGCAAUAGUUGGCGAGACGACAACGAUGCUACGAUGGAGAUCAAGGUGUCGCGCCGGUGACGAUGGUGAUCAUGACAGUGCUUCGGAGAUGGAGAUCACAAGCACAAGAUGAUGAUGGCCAUAUCAUAUCACUUAUAUUGAUUGCAUGUGAUGUUUAUCUUUUGUGCAUCUUAUUUUGCUUAGAUCAACGGUAGCAUUAUAAGAUGAUCUCUCACUAAAUUUCAAAGGUAUAAGUGUUCUCCCUGAGUAUGCACCGUUGCGGAAGUUCUUCAUGCUGAGACACCACGUGAUGAUCGGGUGUGAUAGGCUCUACGUUCAAAUACAAUGGGUGCAAAACAGUUGCACACGCGGAAUACUCAGGUUAAACUUGACGAGCCUAGCAUAUAACAGAUAUGGCCUCGGAACACUGAGACCGAAAGGUCGAGCGUGAAUCAUAUAGUAGAUAUGAUCAACAUAGUGAUGUUCACCAUUGCAACUACUCCAUCUCACGUGAUGAUCGGACAUGGUUUAGUUGAUUUGGAUCACGUGAUCACUUAGAUGAUUAGAGGGAUGUCUAUCUAAGUGGGAGUUCUUUAGUAAUAUGAUUAACUGAACUUUAAUUUAUCAUGAACUUAGUCUUGGUAGUAUUAGCAUAUCUAUGUUGUAGAUCAAUAGCUCGCGAUGUUGCUCCCCAUUUAUUUUUUAUAUGUUCCUAGAGAAAACUAAGUUGAAAGAUGUUAGUAGCAAUGAUGCGGAUUGGAUUCGUGAUCUGAGGUUUAUCCUCAUUGCUGCGCUGAAGAAUUAUGUCCUUGAUGCACCACUAGGUGAUAGACCUAUUGCAGGAGCAGAUGCAGACGUUAUGAACGUUUUGGCAAAAGCUCGGUAUGAUAACUACUUGAUAGUUAAGUGCACCAUGCUUUACGGCUUAGAACCGGGACUUCAAAAAUGUUUUGAAACGCCAUGGAGCAUAUAAGAUGUUCCAAGAGUUGAAAUUGGUAUUUCAUACUCGUGCCCAUGUCAAGAGGUAUGAGACCUCUGACAGUACAUUGCCAAUAAGAUGGAGGAGAAUAGCUCAACCAGUGAGCAUGUGCUCAGAUUGUCUGAGUACUACAAUUACUUGAAUCAAGUGGGAGUUAAUCUUCCAGAUAAGAUAGUAAUUGACAAAGUUCUCUAGUCACUAUCACCAAGUUAAUAGAACUUCGUGAUGAACUAUAAUAUGCAAGGGAUGACGGAAGUAAUUCCAAGCUCUUCGCGAUGCUGAGAUCGGCGAAGGUAGAAAUCAAGAAAAGAGCAUCAAGUGUUGAUGGUUAACAAGAUCGCUAGUUUCAAGAAAAUGGCAAAGGGAAAGAAGGGGAACUUCAAGAAGAAUGGCAAACAAGUUGUUGCUCAAGUGAAGAAGCCCAAGUUUGGACCUAAGCCUGAUACUGAGUGCUUCUACUACAAAAAGGACUGGUCACUGGCAGCGGUACUACCCCAAAUAAUUGGCGGAUAAGAAGGAUGGCAAAGUGAACAAAAGUAUAUUUGAUAUACAUGUUAUUGAUGUGUACUUUACUAGUGUUUAUAGCAACCCCUCGGUACUUGAUACUGGUUCUGUUGGGGGUAUAACUACUGGUGUAACCCGCCCAGGAGGGGCCGGGUUACGCUAUAGCAAUUCGUUAUAUGAAGCCCAAUAUCAAGCUUGAAGAUGGCGGUUCAAUAAAGGGCCUAAAGCCCAUAGGCGACUUAAGGCCCGUAGUGAUAAACCGCCCUAAUGGCAUGACUUGUGUUGUAAGGAAAGAUUAACUAGUUACCGAGCCGGAUACUGUUUAUAAGCCGGCCGGGACUCUGUAGGCCGCGGGGCGUCAACCCGUGUAUAUAAGGGGAUGACCCGCCGGCUGCUUAAGGGAAGUAACACCAAAUCGGUAGCCAGGCAUAGCGGAUUCGCUCCCUAGUCAUUGAAACCCUAGUAAUUCCACCUCAACUGGAGUAGGCUUUUACCUUCACCGUAAGGGGCCGAACCAGUAUAACCCUCGUGUCCUUUGUCCCGCUUUAACCCCUUUAAGCUUCCUAGUUGCGAUGGCUCCACGACUAAGUCCUUUCACAAGGGCAUCUGCCGUGACUAUUCCACGACAGUUGGCGCCCACCGUGGGGCCAGCGCACGGUGGAUUUGAGUUCUUGAAGGGCAGCUUCGAAGGGCUCAAGGGAUACGCUGUGGGCCGAAUGACCAAGAGUCGUCGCGGCAAGCUCUACAUUGACGGCGCAGACUGGGGCCCCGACGCCGGCUCAAUCGAGUACGGGUACCGGGUCCCCUUCGGCGGAAUCCACGUUUUCAUUGGCAAGAUCGGCGAGUCGGGCCCUGAGCCGGACAUCUGCACCGACCUCAUCGAGACGGCUCAGCGUGCGAGACCCGCCCGGACUCUGCCCGCCUUGAAGCGUGCUUUCGUGGGAUGCAUCCACGGAGGACUCUCUGAAGGAUCUAGAUCUAGCGAUGAGACGGCCAUCUGCUCUGAUGAUGAGUCAUCCACAGGUGAGACGGACUCAUUGUAUCAACUUCGAGACAGCAGGCUCGGGGGUUGUUCCGAUGGCGACAGUAUUCCGGAUCCUUUUGAGCCACCAAGCCGGGUUGGAAUCUUCAUGGCCGGCACGCAACCUGUUCAAAACUCCGCCGCUGGGGCAGGAGGCCCUGUGCACUCGCCGGCUCAGGUGCUGAUGGAUCUCACGGAUAAGAUGACUGCCCUGUUAACCGCCACGGUCGUCCCAGCGGAUCAAGCUCAACAGGAUGCAGAGGUGGCACAGUUAAAGCUGGAUAUAGCACGAGCCAAGGAAGAUCUGGCAGCGGAAGGAAUCAGGAUGGCUGCAGAACGGGCGGCUCUGGACGCCCAGACUCAGUUGAUUCAGGCGCAGUCUUUCCGGCUCACGAUGGAUCAGAACGCAUCCAAUGAGGUCAUGAGAAGGAGGCAUCAGAAGGCUCAAUCUCGGCUCCCUCCGGUUUAUGAUCCUCGAAACCUCUUCAACACGCCCGGUGCAGGGCCUAGUAACCCGCUAGAAAUCAUGGCACCCGGGGCUAGAACGCCGGUUCAGCCGCAAGGGAUGGGGCCUCCCCGUGUGAAUACUGCCCCACCUCAAUACGUGCCAAUACCACCGGGUCAUUAUUCUAAUCCGCUGGAAAACAUGAUCACUGCAGCGGUGCGACUGGCGGCUCUCCCAGUCGAGGGUGACUCUCCAACGGCGGUUGAAACCCGCAGGGUCAGAGAACUUCUUCAGACGGCUUUGGCACAACAGGAGGCAUAUUCAUAUAGCCGGGACAGGGUUCAUUCAACCCCUCGUCCAAGCCGGAGCCCAAGUUAUAGCAGACACAUGGUUUCAGCGGCCGGCUCAAGCAACGUCCGGUGUCGUGACUUGCCAGCUGGCCAUGGCCCGACGCAUAAUGGAGCCUUUAACGCGGUAGACCAAGACAGAGCACGUCAAGAGGCGGAGCAGGCGGCUCAGCUGAUGGCUUACCAGCCCUUCCCGGUUUAUCCGACGGCUUCUAUCGAGGCAGGCAUAGCUACGAGGACCGGAGGUGUCCCUUGUCUGGUGCCGGCUCUCCGUAAUGAACGUCUGCCCAAAGAUUUCAAAGGACCUAGGAAGGUACCUAAUUACACGGCUGAUUUAUAGCCCGGAGCAUGGAUUGAAAGCUACGAGAUGGCUAUGGAGUUGCUGGAGGUCAGCGAAGCGGCGAUGGCCAAAUAUUUCACCAUGAUGUUGGAUGGGACUGCCCGCACUUGGUUGAAGGGACUGCCACCUAAUUCCAUCGGGUCAUGGGCAGAGCUGAAAGCCCGGUUCAUCCAAAACUUCAAAGAUACAUGUAGGCAAUCUAUGUCAAUUGUGGAUUUGACUAACUGCAAGCAGCAGGAAGGCAAGUCUACAACCCAUUGGGUACGACGGGUCAAGGAAAUAAUACAUUCAACUGAUAAGAUGGAUGCCGGCUCUGCGGUCUUAAUGUUGGAGCAAAAUUGUCGUUUUGCGCCCCUGAAGAUGAAGCUUGGGCGGCUCAAGGGCGAUUGCAACGAUAUGGGUACGCUGAUGGCGGCUCUGGUCAAGUACGCCGACUUUGACAGUACCAAGGAUCCCGCGCCUGAUGAGGAAAAGACAGGGAAGGGAAAGAAGAAUGGCAACGGCAAGGGCCCUCAGCAUAACCCGGCGAGUCAAGGAGGUAAUAAGCGUAAGGCUGAUGAUGGUAUGGAGUUUGUGGCCAACACCAACACGCAGGGUAACAAUCACUGAUGUAAGGGAAGACCGCCUCCCCGGUCUGGCGGGUCAGGCCCAACGCUUGAGCAGUUGUUAAAUGAGCCCUGCCCAAGGUAUGGCUCUAGGGAGAAGUCGGCCACUCAUCUAUGGAAAGACUGCGCGAUCAUGAAAGCUUUCAAGAAUUCCAACAUGUUCAACGAUAACAAUGGGCAGGGCGGCGGCUUUCAUGGCCCAGGCGACGGUUCAAAUUCCAAUUUUCAGAGUUCUCAAGGUAAUCAAGGUGGUUUUAACCAACAAUCUGGCCAGGUGUCGUGGAAUUGUCACGGCAGAUGUCCUCGAGCUAGGACUUAGUCAUGGAGCCAUCGCAACUAGGAAGCUUGAAGGGGUUAAGUGGGACAAGGAACACGAGGGGUUAUACUGGUUCGGCCCCUUACGGUGAAGGUAAAAGCCUAUGUCCAGUUUGAGGUGGUAUUGAUUAGGGUUUCGAUGACCAGGGAGCUUAACAGCUAUGCCUGGCUCUCGAUGAAAUCUUUUUCGUCCCUAAACCGCUGCCGGGUCGUCCCUUUAUAUAGGGAGGCUGACGCCCAGCAGCUCUCAGAGUCCCGGCCGGCUCAUAAGAGUGUCCGGCUCGGACUCUCAACUAUUCUUGCCUUACACUACAAGUUCUACCAUAAUAAUGAUUGUAACUACGGGCCUUAAGCCGUAUCCGGGUCUUAAGCCCAUCUCUGGCCCACCGUCUUCAAGCUUAGCGCCGGGCUUCUAGCAAUGACCAUAUGAGUAACCCGGCCCCUCCUGGCGGGUGACUCUAAGGUCUAUAUCCUCAACAUUAGGCCCCAGAUUGAUUUGAGCCGGCUCAUGUCAAUCUUCACUUCUUUCGACAGAAAAACUCUCCGGCUUACCAUUUGUGUGAGGGCCAUAACCCGGCGUGACAUCAUCCUCUAGACUCCGGGUAAUCCGCCGUGAAGUCAUCUUCCAUUAAGCCCGUUUUUUACUCCACCAGAUCCGCAACGGAUCUUAUCUUUACUGCCAUCCCGAAAAUCGAGGCGUUUCGUGGGGAGAUAACCACGCCAUGGUCUCCUCGUUUCUCGCGCCCACUUAUGAGCUCGCCCUUAUAAAUAGGCCGGCCCGACGGGCCUUCAGCCACUUCUCUCUUCUUCGUCUUCUUCCUCGCGCCACUGCUCCCCUGCUCGAGCUCUGCUGCCGCCGCCGCGGGUCUUCUCGUUGUCACCAACUCAGGCCACUGCAUCCCCCUGAUUUGACCAGAGAAACGCGACGACCUCCGCGACUUACCAGCCUCUGUAAGUUUCUUCUGCCCUGUAGAACAGAUCUGCGGUAGGGUUCGUCCUGUUCGUCGGUGUUCUUCACCGUCGCCCACGAGCUCCGGUAGUUUUCAUUUUUACUGCCCGUUUUUUGAUCUUAGUCUUGUAUAGAACCACUGCGGUAACCGUUUAGCACCCAUUUCACAUACAAGUAGCCCUCUUUUUACUGCAUAAGAACCUUGUUCGAGCUCAAGAACUCCCUCGCGUCUGUUUCUAGGUCUAGAAACUUUUCUUUUGCCCGACCAUUUUGAUCCAAAAUAUUUACCACAAUGUGUGAAACCUGUUUUCACCACACUUAGUAAAAAACUGCCCUCAUUGAGUGAUGGCGGUUUACAUUUCCGGCUUAAAGAAACCACGCGCCGUAGAACCUUCCGGCUCAGAGGAAGCCACGCGCCGCAAAAUUUUCCGGCUCACUUACAACAAGGCUGUAGACUAUUUGAAUUACCCUCAAGCACACCAGCGGCUUAGAUAACCCGAUGCACUUAGACAUAUAUCAUUAGUCCCCUCCAUAAGCCGCCACCUUAAACCUUAACUUGUAAGUCUCCUCCGGCUCAUUAUUAAACCGGACAUUUUACCUGUAUCAUAGGCUUCCAAUAGUCACCAUGCCUCCCAAAGCUCCUAAAGCCUCCAUCACUUGCAACUGGAUGAGGUCCAAUGUCACCAACGAGACAUUAGCAGAUUUUGUCAAGUCUGGCUAUCUGCCCAAGAAGGACGUCAUGUCCUACCGUGCCCCCGACCCAUCAGAGGAGAGACCACAGCCAAGGGACGGGGAGGUGAUCAUUUUUGCGGAUCACAUGAGCCGGGGCUUCGCACCGCCCGGCUCAAAGUUUUUCAGAGACGUUCUGAAUUUCUUCGAUCUGCGGCCUCAGGACAUAGGACCCAACUCAGUGUCCAAUAUCUGCAACUUCCAAGUGUUCUGCGAGGUUUACCUUGGAGAAGAACCCAGUCUGCUGCUCUUCAGAGAGCUUUUCUAUUUAAACCGUCAGAAUGAGUGCGCCAAUGGGCCAAGUUUGGAGCUCGGUGGUAUCUCCAUUCAGCGGCGGAGGGACUGCCUUUUCCCGUACGCAGAGCCGCCAAGCCACCCCAAAGACUGGAAUCUGACGUGGUUCUACUGCCAAGACACGUCGCCGGCUGAUGAGAGUCCGUUGCCCGGCUUUCGCCCCUCGCGUCUGGAGCCGACUCACCCACUGUCAGAUAAGCUGACUCAAGUGGAGCACCAACCUCUGCUCCCCACCAUCAACAAGAUCAAGGCUCUCCUGGGCAAUGGUCUCAACGGAAUCGAUCUAGUCCGGGUCUGGAUCUCGUGGCGGGUGAUCCCCUUAAGCCACCGCCCCGGCUUAAUGUGCGAGUACACGGGCCGUAAGGAUGACCCUCAGAGACACAGCCGCAACGAUCUUCCUGAAGACGUUGCAGAGGAUAUGACCAAGGCUCUUUUGAACAAGAGCCUGGCAGACUGCGGGAGGACCGGGUUAGCCCCCUUCUGCAAGACCAACCCAGCCCCAGCGAUAAGCCGCUGAUCUGAACAUCUUCUUCUGUAUAUAACCUUCAUCUGAAUCGUUUUAAGAAAUCAUCAUUGUAUUUUUCAGGCUGAUGAUAAGUUAUGGCGGGUCAAAUAUGACCAUGAGGCGGCCAAGAAGGCCAGAAAGGCGAAGAAAGCCGCCAAGAAAGCCGCUCCCCGUAAGAAGGGAAGUAGGCCAACUGCUUCAGAGCUGAUGCAAUUAAGCGACAGCUCCGAGUCAGAGGUAACCCCUGAGCCUGUAAGUCCUUGUUGUAUCUGUUGUUUAUUUCUGUCCGCCUUACCAAUAUUUGUUCAUCAAUAGGACGACACCGGAGCAAGUAACCCGGUGGUUGAAGAGGUAACGACAUUUUCCUCCGACUCGGAGCCCUUGCCAAGGCUGAAAAUCCGAAGGGUAACCCGGAAAGUAAGCUUUUCACAUCCUUUAGCUUAUCAAGACCCUCAAUUUAUUUUGAAGCGACAGGUGCAUGAGAGCCGGCGGCACACCCGGACCAACAAAAGCACCGACCUCUCCUCUGGGUUACCUAACGCAUCGCCGGACCGAGGUGAUCUCAAGAUUGUACCCUUUUCAUCCUUUGGCAGGUGUUAUACGUCAACCGCUCAACUCUUCUGACUCAAAUUAUCAGGAAACUUCCCCCUCUUCUGGCGACUCUAUGCAGUCAAGCCUGCCGGCUUUCAAGACCGUGCCUGGGUAAUGAUAACCAUCUCAUGUUGUACUUUGUCCUUACUUACACCAUUGUGCUCAACCUUUCUGUCUUUCCAGUGCCCAGGCCAAGCUCACCAAGAGGGCGAAGAAGUCCAAGCCGGUCGAUGAGCCAGACUUGCCUGAGCCAGAGGCAGCCGCUCAAGAACCGCCAGCUGCCUCUGCUCCUGAGGCUGCUGCCCCAACCAACAAGCCCGCAACAGAAGCUUCUGUUAACCCGGAGGCCUCCAGCUCAGCUCAACCAGCCGAUGACCCGGACGUGGUAAUCACCCGGACGGAGUUUGUUGAGCCGGGGAGACCUACUGCGCUGGCCAAGUGACCCGCCAAAGGGGAGCUGCUAGAGUCCCGCCGGGUGAACCUGGACCUCACCGACCACGCCAAUUUGAACAUUGGAGAGAUCGUCUCCGGCUUCGUCAGCCAAGUGCACAAGAGCCGGGACGCAGAGAUUGCCAUGGUGAACCAGAUCCAGCAGAAAUCUGAGGUAUUAUUCUUCUGUCCUCUUACUUACUGCAUAGUUACCUUUACCAUGCUAGCCCCCAAGUCGAUGACUUAUGAUUGAGUAUGUUGUAGACUUAGGUUCCGGCUUACUCCAUUGAACCGGCAAUUUGUAGAUAGAAACGUUCAAUAUGCAUUAGCCCCCAAGUGCCAAGUGUCUUUGCUUGGAAAACGCUUGGGACUUUAAAUUUAUACAGUAACUGUUCCUGCCAUAACCCGGAAAUUUAUGCAGGCUGCUGGCAAGAAGCUUGAGGCUGACAUCUCUGAUCUCAAGAACCGGCUGAAGAUGCAAGAAAUGGAGACCCGGAAGGCAAAUGCCAAAUUUGUGUCCAGCAUCGCCGCGCAAGAAAAGCUGAAGACGGAGUUUGACGCUGAACGGAAGGCUUGGGCCGAAGAAAAGGUCGCGCUGGUGAACCGGGCUGAACAGGCGGAGAAGGCUCUCUCCGAGAAGACCGCCGAACUCGCCGGUUUAAAGCGCCAAGUGUCCCAGAUGGUCGCCGCAAUCUUCGGUAAGUCAUUUCACCGGCUUUCAUCAAGUUUAGAAUUUUGAUAUCUCAUAACCCAUCCUUGUCGGCGGCUUAUCUUAUUCUGUUAAACAGGUCCCAGAAGUGCCAACCUGAACCAGAGUGUGGUAACCAAACUAAAGGCCGUAUACACCCUGGUGGAGCAACUCUACACCGGGUCACAGCGUGCCUUGGCUGUGGUGGCCCUAUCCAACGAGGUGCCGACUCACCUGGCGGAAGUCCUUCGCCGGCUCGCCGUUCUGCCUCAACGGAUCCAAGAGCUGCGACGGGCCUCUGCAAGAGCCGGAGCGAUCGCCGCGCUGAGCCGGGCCAAGGCGUUCCUGCCAGAGUUAGACCCGGCGGACAUCGCCCUCGGCUAUCCAAGUCUGAAGGAAGACGGCACCGCCUUCGAUCAGAAGGACUUCGCAGCUUGCGUGAAGGCCGUACGCCCGGUGGCCACUCUGAUUGGCAAUGAUACAGAUCUGACUAAGUAUCAGCCGGGCUACGAUGCAGAAAAUCAGAGGAUCCCUACUCCGCGCUAUGAAGCCCUCAACUUGAUCCCGCCGGCUCGUCAGCACACCUUCGCCCCGGAGAUUGACCCGGCCGGGUUAAUUGAUGAGGAAGCCCAAUUCGAAGCUCUCAGCAGCAUCGACUGGAAGUCAUCAACUUUCCAGGUCUUGGGAUCAGCCGGAGGAGAAGAGAGGAACGAGCCGGAGACUUCAACCCAGCAAGCGUCGUAACUCGGCUGGCGGCUUAUCAAACAAUGCCUCACUCUUUUGGACUCAAUGAGUCUUGUAAUAGAAUAGGACCAAUACUUUAUCUUUGCCGUGCCAUCGUGCACGCCUUGAAUGCUGAAGUCCGUUGAAGUUGUCUCCUUUAUGUUUCUCCGGGUCGUAAUCAAUCAUUUGUUUCCCUUAAUCUCAAAAUAGCUGCCUUUAACUAUCCUGCAGAGAAGGACAAAUCACAAGUCUCGAGGCGGCUUACUGCCCUGAGAAUCAUAAGUUUUAGAUAUAUAACCCGGAAUAUGAAUCAAAAAGGACUGGUCUUCGAUUAUAUCCUUAAUACAGCCGUAAUAACAUACUUAGCGGCCUGCAAGCAUACUUCCGGCUUAGAUAACCCGGGUAGUAAGGUUGGUACCUCAAUUCCGGUUUAACUGUCUUAAUAACACCCAUUGUGUUCAGCUAAUACUGUAAACCAAAGUUAAGCCGGCAAAGUGAGACCCGGCCGUACUCACGUUGAAAUAAUCAGAAGAAACUGACUAUAAAGUAGAAGAACUUAGGGGCUUCCGGUUCGAAUACGACCAGAGACCCGGCCCAAAGGGGUUAUGCUAGGAUUCGAAUGCGAUCAUAUAGCCCCCAGUGGGUGUGGCGAUGCCAAUCAAGAGGGUAUCGACAGCUAUGUUCUCUUUGGUUCGAAUACGACCCAUGUUUGAACAGGAAGCCCCCAAGUGAUUUUAAGAAUUGUUUAACGACGCUGAUUCGAAUACGAUCCACGUCGGUUCUCAAAGGGUUUAAACUAAGAUUCAAAUAUGAUCAAAGAAAACUCCCCAAUGAGCUCAGCACUUUGCCAAUCAAAUGGGUACCGACAGCUAUGUUCUCUUUGGUUCGAAUACGACCCAUGUUUGAACAGGAAGCCCCCAAGAGACCUUAUCGCUUACGGCUAGAUUCGAAUACAAUCAUAAGCCGGAUCCUCCGUCAAGUUAUCAUGUAAUCUUGCAAUGAAAACAACACGUGCAUAUUUGGAGGAGAAAAAGGACAGAGGUCCUGCUUUAUUGCUUAUCAUAAUAUAUACAUGGCUGAGAGAAAUAUGUACAUUAUGAGAGCCGGUGGCUCAAGUGUAGUAAGGCCGAAGCUGAGCUAUGUUCCACGGCCAACGGGUCUCUUCCUCCGACUUACGUGAAUCUUUAUGCUCCCGAAUGUCAAUGAGGUAAUAUGACCCGUUGUGCAAAUUCUUGCUGACCACAAAGGGCCCUUCCCAAGGCGGGGAUAGCUUGUGCGCAUCUGUUUGAUCUUGGAUGAGCCGGAGCACAAGAUCACCUUCCUGGAAGACCCGGGAUUUAACCCGGAGGCUAUGAUAACGGCGCAGGUCUUGUUGGUAAAUCGCUGAGCGAGCUGCUGCCACAUCACGCUGUUCGUCCAACAAGUCAAGAGCAUCUUGGCGCGCCUGUUCAUUGUCCGUCUCAACAUAAGCCGCCACUCGAGGUGAGUCAUGACGGAUGUCACUGGGGAGGACUGCUUCUGCCCCAUAAACCAUGAAGAAGGGCGUAAAACCCGUAGACCUGUUAGGAGUAGUAUUGAUGCUCCAUAACACGGACGGCAACUCCUCCACCCAACAACCUGGCGUCCGUUGCAAAGGGACAAAAAGUCGGGGCUUGAUGCCCUUCAGAAUCUCCUGAUUAGCUCUCUCAGCUUGACCAUUGGAUUGAGGAUGAGCCACUGAGGAAACAUCAAGUCGGAUGUGCUCUCGUUGACAAAACUCUUCCAUGGCGCCUUUGGAUAGAUUGGUGCCAUUGUCAGUUAUAAUGCUGUGCGGAAAGCCAAAGCGAAAAAUCACCUUUUUCAUAAAUUGAACCGCCGUGGCUGCAUCACACUUGCUAACUGGCUCCGCUUCCACCCACUUGGUAAAUUUGUCAACUGCCACCAAGAGGUGAGUCUUCUUAUCCUUGGACCUUUUAAAAGGUCCAACCAUAUCAAGCCCCCAGACCGCAAAGGGCCAAGUAAUUGGGAUCAUCCUCAGCUCCUGAGCUGCCACAUGAGCCCGUCGUGAGAACCUCUGGCAACCAUCACAUUUACUGACCAAGUCCUCCGCAUCAGCAUGAGCCGUCAGCCAAUAAAAACCAUGGCGAAAAGCCUUGGCCACAAGAGACUUUGAGCCGGCAUGAUGGCCACAAUCCCCUUCAUGAAUCUCACGCAAGAUCUCUUGACCUUCCUCAGGGGAGACACAGCGCUGAAACGCUCCUGUAACCCUGCGGUGAUGCAACUCGCCAUUGAUAACAAUCAUUGAUUUAGCCCGCCGGGUUACUUGUCUGGCCAAAGUUUCAUCCUCAGGCAACUCUCCCCGGGUCAUGUAAGCCAGAUACGACAUCGUACAGUCUGGUAUGAUGUGGAGAGCCGCCACCAGCCGUGCCUCCGGGUCAGGGACAGCCAAGUCUUCCUCUGUAGGCAACUUAACAGAGGGGCUAUAUAGGACGUCCAGGAAAGUAUUAGGCGGCACCGGUUUUCGCUGAGAGCUCAGCCGGCUUAAAGCAUCAGCCGCCUCGUUUUUCCUGCGAUCGAUGUGUUCCACUUGGUAACCCUGAAAGUGCCCAGCAAUGGCAUCAACUUCGCGGCGAUAAGCCGCCAUGAGAGGGUCCUUGGAAUCCCACUUUCCUGAUACUUGUUGAGCCACCAAGUCUGAGUCGCCGAAGCAUCUUACCCGGCUCAAGCUCAUCUCUUUAGCCAUCCGAAGACCAUGGAGCAAGGCCUCAUACUCAGCUGCGUUGUUAGUGCAAGGAAACAUCAACUGUAGCACAUAAUGGAACUUGUCACCUUUAGGGGAAGUCAACACGACUCCAUCCCCCGAGCCCUCCAACUGCCUGGACCCAUCAAAGUGUAUAGUCCAGUAUGUGUUAUCCGGCUUUUGCUCGGGCACUUGUGACUCUAUCCAAUCGUUGAUGAAAUCCACCAAGGCCUGAGACUUAACAGCAGUGCGUGGCACGUAUUUCAGACCAUGAGGUCCAAGCUCUAUAGCCCACUUAGCCACUCUCCCUGUGGCCUCCCUGUUUUGAAUGAUAUCACCAAGAGGGGCAGAACUGACCACAGUGAUAGGAUGACCCUGGAAAUAAUGCUUGAGCUUCCGGCUUGCCAUGAACACACCAUAAACAAGCUUCUGCCAAUGUGGAUACCGCUGUUUGGACUCGAUAAGCACUUCGCUGACAUAAUAAACCGGCCGCUGAACCGGAUGCUCCCUACCCUCUUCCUUGCGUUCCACCACCACAGCCACACUGACGGCUCGUGUGUUCGCCGCCACGUACAGUAAUAAGGGCUCCUUAUCAACCGGAGAAGCAAGGACUGGGGGCUCUGCCAGCUGCUUCUUCGAAUCCUCAAAAGCGGUAUUAGCUGCAUCAUUCCAGACAAAGUUAUCAGUUUUCUUCAUCAACUGAUAUAAUGGCAUGGCCUUCUCACCCAAACGGCUUAUAAACCGACUUAAAGCAGCGAUGCGACCCACCAAGCGCUGAACGUCAUUUAUACACGCCGGCUUAGCCAGGGAGGUGAUGGCCUUGAUCUUCUCCGGGUUAGCUUCAAUGCCUCUGUCAGAAACCAAAAAACCCAAGAGUUUGCCUGCAGGAACACCAAAAACACACUUGGCCGGGUUAAGCAUCAUAUUGUAGACCCGGAGAUUAUCAAAGGUUUCCCUUAAAUCAUCUAUCAUGGUUUCCUCCUUUAUAGAUUUAACCACAAUAUCGUCCACAUAAGCAUGAACAUUGCGCCCAAUCUGGUUAUGAAGACAGUUCUGCACACAACGCUGAUAAGUCGCCUGUGCACACUUGAGUCCAAAGGGCAUAGACACAUAGCAGAAGGCUCCAAAAGGAGUGAUGAAUGCCGUCUUCUCCUGGUCCUUAACUGCCAUUUUAAUCUGAUGAUAUCCGGAAUAAGCAUCCAAGAAACUUAAGAGCGCACAACCUGCCGUAGCAUCAAUAAUUUGAUCAAUACGGGGAAGGGCAAAAGGAUCAGCCGGACACGCCUUGUUUAAGUCCGUGUAGUCCACACACAUCCGCCAAGUGUCGUUCUUCUUGAGUACGAGCACCGGGUUAGCUAACCACUCUGGGUGAAAGACUUCAACAAUAAACCCGGCCGCCAAGAGCCGGGCCACCUCUUCACCAAUAGCUUUCCGCCUCUCUUCAUUAAACCGCCGAAGGAACUGCCUGACCGGCUUAAAUUUCAGAUCAACAUUGAGAGUGUGCUCAGCGAGUUCUCUAGGUAAACCUGGCAUGUCAGAAGGUUUCCAUGCGAAGAUGUCCCUAUUCUCACGGAUGAACUCGAUGAGCGCGCUUUCCUAUUUUGGAUCCAGAUUUGCACUGAUGCUAAACUGCUGAGAUGAAUCUCCUGGAACAAAAUCAACAAGCUUAGUUUCAUCAGCCGACUUAAAUUUCAUCGCCGGCUCAUUUUCCGUAGUCGGCUUUUUCAGAGAGGUCAUAUCUGUUGGGUCAACAUUGUCUUUGUAAAACUUCAACUCCUCUGUUGCACAAACAGAUUCUGCAUAAGCUGCAUCGCCUUCCUCACAUUCCAGAGCCACCUUUCGGUUGUCGUGAACCGUAAUGGUCCCAUUGUGACCCGGCAUCUUGAGCUGUAAGUAAACAUAACACGGCCGUGCCAUGAACUUGGCGUAAGCCGGCCGCCCAAGUAUGGCAUGAUACGGACUUCUUAUCUUAACCACCUCAAAGAUCAAUUUUUCCACCCUGUAGUUGUUCUCAUCUCCAAAGGCCACUUCCAACUCGAUCUUGCCGACUGGGUAAGCAGACUUACCAGGUACCACACCAUGGAAAAUAGUGUUUGACUGGCUGAGAUUCUUAUCAAUCAACCCCAUACGACGAAAUGUCUCAUAAUAGAGGAUGUUAAUGCUGCUGCCGCCAUCCAUGAGCACCUUAGUGAACUUAUAUCCUCCCACCUGAGGAGCCACCACCAGGGCCAAGUGACCCGGAUUAUCCACCCGGGGAGGGUGAUCCUCCCUACUCCACACUAUAGGCUGCUCAGACCACCGCAAGUAGCGUGGAACCGCCGGCUCAACAGCAUUCACAGCCCUCUUAUGAAGCUUCUGAUCUCGUUCGCACAGACUCGUGGUAAACACAUGAUAUUGUCCAUUGCUAAGCUGCUUUGGAUUGGUCUGAUAACCCCCCUGCUGCUGUUGAUGACCCUGGCCAGACUGCUGGUUAAAGCCCCCUUGACCGUUCUGAGGAUUAGAAUUUGAGCCGCCGCCCGGGCCAUGAAAGCCGCCGGCGCCUGAGCCGCCGCCCGGGCCGUUGUAAUUUUUAAAGGCCUUCAUGAUUGCACAAUCCUUCCAUAGAUGAGUCGCUGGCUUCUCUCUAGAGCCAUGCCUUGGACAAGGCUCAUUCAACAGUUGCUCCAGCGUCGGGCCUGACCCGCCGCCUCGGGGAGGGGGCCUCCCCUUGCGUCGCUGGUUAUUACCUUGUGAGCUGGCGUUGGCUACAAACUCUAGGCUGCCAUCGGCCUUGCGCUUGCCUCCUCCUUGGUUACCCGGGUUAUGCUGAGGACCCUUGCCAUUGCCAUUCUUCUUUCCCUUCCCUGCCCUUUCAUCAUCUGAAGGGGGAUCCUUGGUACCAUCCGAAUCGGCGUACUUGAAAAGAGCCGCCAUUAGUGUACCCAUAUCAUUGCAGUCGCGCUUAAGCCGCCCGAGUUUCAUCUUCAGGGGCACGAAACGACAAUUCUGCUCCAACAUUAAGACUGCAGAGCCGGCAUCCAUCUUAUCUGAUGAAUGUAUGAUCUCCUUGACCCGGCGAACCCAAUGCGUCGUGGAUUCACCCUCCUGCUGCUUACAGUUAGUCAAAUCCACAAUUGACAUAGACUGCCUACAUGCAUCCUUGAAGUUUUGGAUGAACCGGGCUUUCAGCUCAGCCCAAGACCCGAUGGAAUUCGGUGGUAGCCCUUUCAACCAAGUGCGGGCAGUCCCAUCCAACAUCAUGGUGAAGUACUUGGCCAUUGCCGCCUCACUGACCUCCAGUAGUUCCAUGGCCAUCUCGUAACUCUCGAUCCAGGCUGCGGGUUGUAAGUCAGCCGUGUAAUUGGGCACCUUCCUAGGGCCUUUGAAGUCCUUGGGUAGACGUUCAUUGCGGAUAGCUGGCACUAAGCAAGGGACACCCCCGGUCCUGGUAGGGAUACCCACAUCGACGGACGUCGUCGGAUAAGCCGGGGGAGUCUGGUAAGCUGUCAACUGAGGCACCUGCUCCGCCUCUUGCCGCGCUCUGUCUUGGUCUGCUGCGUGAAAGGCUCCAUUAUGAGCCGGGCCAUGGCCAGGGGGCGGGUCAUGGCGUCGGACGUUACUUGAGCCGGUCGCUGAGACCAUGUGUCUGCUGUAACUCGGGCUCCGGCCUGGACGAGGGGUCGAGUGGAUCCUGUCCCGGCUGUAGGAGUACGCCUCUUGCUACGGCAGUGCUGUCUGAAGGAGUUCCCUGACCCGGCGGGUUUCAAUAGCCGUCGGAGAGUCACCGUCGACUGGGAGAGCCGCCAGCCGUGCUGCCGCGGCGACCAUGUUCUCCAGCGGGUUAUUAUAAUGACCCGAUGGUAUUGGCACGUACUGAGGCGGGGCAGGGGGCACCUGGGGAGGCCCCAUCACUUGUGGCUGAAUAGAGGUCCCAGACCUGGGCACUAUGACCCCUGGCGGGUUACUAGACCCUGCACCUGGCGUGUUGAAGAGGUUGCGUGGAUCGUAAACCGGAGGGAGUCGAGAUUGGGCCUUUUGAUGCCUCCUUCUCAGGACCUCAUUGGACGCGUUCUGAUCCAUCGUGAGCCGGAAGGACUGCGCCUGGAUCAACUGAGUUUCGGCAUCGAGAGCCGCCCUCUCUGCAGCCAUCCUGAUCCCUUCCGUUGCCAGAUCCUCCUUAGCUUUCACUAGAUCCAACUUUAACUGUGCCACCUCCGCAUCAUGCUGAGCUUGAUCCGCCGGAUCAACCGUGGCGGUUAACAGGGCCGUCAUCUUGUCCGUGAGAUCCAUUAGCACCUGAGCCGGCGAAGGCACCGGGUUUCCCUCUCCAGCAGCAGGGUUCUGAACAGGCUGCGCACCGGCCAUGAAGAUUCCAACCCGGCUUGGCGGCUCAAACAGGUCCGGAAUACUGUCACCAUCGGAACAACCCAUGAGCCUGCCAUCUUGAAGUUGAUACAACGAAUUUGACUCAUCGGUGGACGACUCGCCGUCAGAGCCGGCGGCCGUCUCAUCACCAGAUCCAGAUUGAUCGGAGAGCCCUCCAUGGAUACAUCCCACAAAAGCAUGCCUUAAGGCAGGCCGGGCCCGGGCGGGUCGUGCACGCUGAGCCGUCUCGAUGAGAUCGGCGCAGAGAUCCAGCUCAGGGCCCGGCUCACCAAUCUUGCCAAUGAAAACAUGAAUUCCGCCGAAGGGGACCCGGUACCCGUACUCAACUGAGCCGGCGUCGGGGCCCCAGUUUGCAUCGUCGAUGUAGAGCUUGCCGCGACGACUCUUGGUCAUCCGGCCCACAGCGUAUCCCUUGAGCCCUUCGAAGCUGCCCUUCAAGAACUCAAAUCCACCGUGCGCUGGCCCCAUGGUGGGCGCCAACUGUCGUGGAAUUGUCACGGCAGAUGUCCUCGAGCUAGGACUUAGUCGUGGAGCCAUCGCAACUAGGAAGCUUGAAGGGGUUAAGUGGGACAAGGAACACGAGGGGUUAUACUGGUUCGGCCCCUUACGGUGAAGGUAAAAGCCUACGUCCAGUUUGAGGUGGUAUUGAUUAGGGUUUCGAUGACCAGGGAGCUUAACGGCUAUGCCUGGCUCUCGAUGAAAUCUUUUUCGUCCCUAAACCGCUGUCGGGUCGUCCCUUUAUAUUGGGAGGCUGACGCCCAGCAGCUCUCAGAGUCCCGGCCGGCUCAUAAGAGUGUCCGGCUCGGACUCUCAACUAUUCUUGCCUUACACUACAAGUUCUACCAUAAUAAUGAUUGUAACUACGGGCCUUAAGCCGUAUCCGGGUCUUAAGCCCAUCUCUGGCCCACCGUCUUCAAGCUUAGCGCCGGGCUUCUAGCAAUGACCAUAUGAGUAACCCGGCCCCUCCUGGCGAGUGACUCUAAGGUCUAUAUCCUCAACACCAGGGUAAUCAGCAACAGCAGCAGGGGGAAUACCAGACCCAUCCAAAGCAGCUCAACCAGUGGACAGUAUCAUGUGUUUACUACCAGUUUGUGCAAGCGAGACCAGAAGCUUCAUAAGAGGGCUGUGAACGCUGUUGAGCCGGCAGUUCCACGUUACUUGCGAUGGUCUGAGCAGCCGAUUGUAUGGAGUAGGGAAGAUCACCCUCCCCGGGUUGAUAAUCCGGGUCACCUGGCCUUGGUGGUGGCUCCUCAAGUUGGUGGGUAUAAAUUCACUAAGGUACUCAUGGAUGGAGGUAGUAGCAUCAACAUCCUCUAUUAUGAGACCUUCCGUCGUAUGGGAUUAACUGAUAAAAGCCUCAACCAGUCCAAUACUAUUUUCCAUGGUGUGGUGCCCGGUAAGUCGGCGUAUCCAGUUGGUAAGAUCGAGCUGGAAGUAGCCUUUGCAGAUGAGUACAACUACAGGGCGGAAAAGCUGACUUUUGAGGUGGUCAAAAUCAGAAGCCCGUACCAUGCUUUAUUUGGGCGGCCGGCUUACGCCAAGUUCAUGGCACGGCCGUGUUACGUAUAUUUGCAGCUCAAGAUGCCGGGUCACAAUGGGACCAUUACGGUUCAUGGCAGCCGAAAGAUAGCCUUGGAAUGCGAGGAAGGUGACGCUGCUUACGCUGAAUUUGUUUGUGCGACAGAGGAAUUAAAGUUUUACAAGGAUAAUGUUGACCCGGCAGAUAUGACGUCUUUGAAAAAGCCGACCACGGAGCAUGAGCCGGUAAUGAAAUUUAAGUCGGCCGAUAGACUAAGCUUAUUGACUUUGUGCCAGGCGACUCAUCUAAGCAGUUCAGCAUCAGUGCCAAUCUGGAUCCUAAAUAGGAAAGCGCGCUCAUCGAGUUCAUCCGUGAGAACCGGGACAUCUUUGCAUGGAAACCUUCUGACAUGCCGGGUGUAUCGAGAGAACUCGCUGAGCACGCUCUUAAUAUUGAUCCAAAAUUUAAGCCAAUCAAGCAAUUUCUCCGGCGGUUUAAUGAGGAGAGGCGGAAAGCCAUUGGUGAGGAAGUAGCCCGGCUCUUGGCGGCCGGGUUCAUCGUUGAAGUCUUUCAUCCAGAAUGGCUAGCUAACCCGGUGCUCGUGCUCAAGAAGAACAGCACCUGGUGUAUGUUUGUGGAUUAUACGGAUUUAAACAAGGCUUGUCCGGCUGAUCCUUUUGCUCUCCCCCGUAUUGAUCAAAUUAUUGAUGCUACGGCGGGUUGUGAGCGUUUGUGUUUUUUGGAUGCUUACUCUGGAUACCAUCAGAUCAAAAUGGCAGUUAAGGACCAAGAGAAGACGGCGUUCAUUACCCCUUUUGGAGCCUUCUGUUAUGUGUCUAUGCCUUUUGGGCUCAAGAGCGCCUAGGCGACUUACCAGCGGUGCGUACAGAAUUGUCUUCAUAGUCAGAUUGGGCGCAACGUUCAUGCCUAUGUGAAUGAUAUUGUGGUAAAGUCCAGAGAGAAGGAGACCUUGAUAGACGAUCUGAGGGAGACCUUUGGUAAUCUCCGGGUCUACAAGAUGAUGCUUAACCCGGCCAAGUGUGUUUUUGGUGUUCCUGCAGGCAAGCUCUUGGGUUUUCUGGUUUCUCAUAGAGGCAUUGAAGCUAACCCGGAGAAGAUCAAGGCAAUCACCUCUCUGGCUAAGCCGGUGUGUAUAAAUGACGUCCAGCGUCUGGCGGGUCGGGUCGCUGCUUUAAGUCGAUUUAUAAGCCAGUUGGGUGAAAAGGCCAUACCGCUGUAUCAGUUGAUGAAGAAAACAGAUGACUUUGUCUAGAGUGAUGCUGCCAACACCGCCUUUGAGGAUUUGAAAAGACAGUUAGCUGAACCGCCAGUUCUUGCUGCGCCUGUUGAUAAGGAGCCCUUAUUAUUGUAUGUAGCUGCUAACACACGAGCCGUUAGUGUGGCCAUCGUGGUGGAGCGCAAGGAGGCGGGUAAGGAACAUCCGGUUCAGCGGCCGGUUUACUACGUCAGCGAAGUACUUAUUGAGUCCAAGCAACGGUAUCCACAUUGGUAGAAGCUUGUUUAUGGGGUAUUCAUGGCAAGCCGGAAACUUAAGCAAUAUUUCCAGGGCCACCCUAUCACUGUGGUUAGUUCUGCUCCUUUAGGAGAUAUCAUCCAAAACAGAGAAGCCACAGGAAGAGUCGCUAAGUGGGCCAUUGAACUUGGGCCUCAUGGUCUAAAGUAUGUGCCACGCACGGCUAUCAAAUCACAAGCAUUGGUAGAUUUCAUCAACGAUUGGACAGAGCUGCAGAUGCCUGAAGAGAAACCGGAUAACACAUACUGGACUAUUCACUUCAACGGGUCCAGGCAAUUGGAGGGCUCGGGGGCUGGAGUCGUGCUAGCUUCCCCUCGAGGUGACAAAUUUUGUUAUGUACUAUGACUGAUGUUUCCCUGUACUAACAAUGCAGCUGAGUACGAGGCCUUGCUCCAUGGUCUUCGGAUGGCUAAGGAGAUGAGCUUAAGCCGGGUCAGGUGCUUGGGCGACUCAGAUUUGGUGGCCCAACAAGUAUCAGGCAAGUGGGAUUCCAAGGACCCCUCAUGGCGGCUUAUCACCGUGAAGUUGAUGCCAUUGCCGGACAUUUUCAGGGUUACCAAGUAGAGCACAUUGACCGUAGAAAGAACGAGGCGGCUCAUGCCUUAAGCCGGCUGGGCUCUUAGCGAAAGCCGGUGCCGCCUAAUACUUUCUUGGAUAUUCUGCAUAACCCUUCUGUCAAGUUACCUACAGAGGAAGACUUGGCUGUUCCGGACCCUGAAGCACAGUUGGUGGCGGCUCUUCAUGUCAUCCCAGAUUGGACAGUGCCAUACUUGGCUUACAUGACCCGGGGAGAAUUGCCUGAGGAUGAAAUUUUGGCCAGACAAAUAACCCGGCGGUCUAAGUCAAUGAUAAUUGCCAAUGGCGAGUUGCAUCAUCGCAGUGUCACUGGGGCUUUUCAGCGUUGUGUUUCCCCUGAGGAAGGGCAAGAAAUUUUACGAGAGAUUCACGAGGGGGAUUGUGGCCAUCUUGCCGGCUCAAAAUCCCUUGUGGCCAAAGCUUUUCGUCACGGUUUUUAUUGGCUGGCGGCUCAUGCUGAUGCAGAGGACUUAGUUAGUAAAUGUGACAGUUGUCAGAAGUUCUCAAGACGUGCUCACGUGUCGGCUCAAGAGUUGAGGAUGAUUCCAAUCACUUGGCCGUUUGCAGUCUGGGGCUUGAUAUGGUUGGACCUUUCAAAAGGUCCAAGGAUAAGAAGACCCACCUCUUGGUGGCGGUUGACAAGUUCACAAAGUGGGUUGAGGCAGAGCCGGUUAGUAAGUGUGAUGCAGCCACGACGGUUCAGUUCAUGAAAAAGGUGAUAUUUCGCUUUGGUUUUCCACACAACAUUAUAACUGAUAAUGGUACCAAUCUGUCUAAAGGUGCCAUGGAAGAAUUUUGUCAACGAGAGCAUAUUCGACUUGAUGUUUCAUCAGUGGCUCACCCCCAAUCCAAUGGUCAAGCUGAGAGAGACAAUCAGGAAAUCUUGAAAGGCAUCAAGCCCCGGCUUUUGGUCCCUUUGCAGCGGACGCCGGGUUGUUGGGUGGAGGAGUUACCCUCUGUGAUAUGGAGCAUCAAUACUACUCCUAAUAGGUCUAUGGGUUAUACGCCUUUCUUCAUGGUUUACGGAGCCGAGGCGGUUCUCCCUAGCGACAUCCGUCAUGACUCGCCUCGUGUGGCGGCUUAUGUUGAGACGGACAAUGAACAAGCGCGUCAGGAUGCUCUUGACUUGUUGGAUGAACAUCAUGAUGUAGCAGCAGCUCGCUCGGUGAUUUACCAACAAGACCUGCGCCGCUAUCACAGCCGUCGGGUUAAGUCCAGAACCUUUCAGGAAGGUGACUUGGUGCUCCGGCUCAUCCAGGAUCAAACAGAUGCACACAAGUUAUCCCCACCUUGGGAAGGGCCCUUUGUGGUCAGCAAGAACUUGCACAACGGGUCAUACUACCUCAUCGAUGUUCAAGAACACAAAGAUUCACGUAAGUCGGAGGAGGAGACCCGCCGGCCGUGGAAUAUAGCUCAGCUUCGGCCUUAUUACACUUGAGCCACCGGCUCUCAUAAUGUACAUACUUCCGUGACAAUGUAUAUAUUAUGAUAAAUAAUAAAGCAGGACCUCUGUCCUUUUUCCCCUCAAAGGUAAAUGUGUCAUUGUUAUUUUCAUUAUGAUAUCACAUGGUCACUGGGGGGUUGAUCCGGCUUACGAUCGUAUUCGAAUCUAGCCGCUAAAAAUUAUGAUCACUAGGGGGCUUCCUGUUCAAACAUAGGUCGUAUUCGAACCAAAGAGAACAUAGCUGUCGAUACCCUUUUGAUCGGCACACUGCCGAGCUCAUUGGGGAGUUUCUUGGUCAUAUUUGAACCAUAGCUCAACCCCCUUUGAGAACCGACGUGGAUCGUAUUCGAAUCAGCGUCGUUAAACAACUCUCAAGGUCAUUUGGGGGCUUCCUGUUCAAACAUAGGUCGUAUUCGAACCAAAGAGAACAUAGCUGUCGGUACCCUCUUGAUCGGCAACGCCAAAGCCAUUGGGGGCUAUAUGAUCGUAUUCGAAUCUUAGCUUAACCCCUUUGGGGUGGUUUUCUGGUCGUAUUCGAAUCAGAAGGCUCCAAAUUUUUUGACGUCUUUUCUUGUAAACAAUUUUUGGUUUCCAUUUGAAGUUCUUUUGAUCAUGUCUAAAGUGUUCAAGGGUGGUUCCUUUUCCACCGGCUUAACCUUGAUCAAUAAAGAUGAUCGCAUAUAAUAGACAUCGUAUUACAGAGUUGGGUUCUCACCCUCAUUGUUUGGGUCACAUAAACCGGAAGUAUAAUCGAAGGGUCACAGGUAUGCUGUUGUGGUUGUCUCAAAGAUAUAACUGAGAACCGGCUUUUUAUGAUUUUGACUCCGGGUUAUAUGUAAAAUGUAUGGCCCUCUAUGCGGUAAGCCGCCAAGGGACUUGUAAUUUGUUCUCUAUGCAGGACAGUUAAAGGCAGCCCUUUAAACAUAAGGAAGAAGAGGAUCAGCAUAAAACAGGGGAAUAUAAGAUGGCGGCUUAAACAGUAUUGAGCGCCACACAGGUGCGCGAUGGCACAACAAAAAUAAGUGUUUUCCUACUCUAUUACAUGACUCCCCGAGUCCAAAUAGUGAAGCAUUGUUUUUUAUCAAGACAUAAGUAUGAGCCGCCUGAGGAAUCAAAGGUGCUGUUGGGCUGACGCUUCCGGUUCAUCCCUUUCCACUCCUCCGGCUGUUUCCCUGUCCUAGAAUGUUGAUGAUUUCCAGUCAAUGCCACUCAAGGCUUCAAAUUCAGCUUCAUCAUCAAUUAACCUGGCCGGAUCAACUUCAGGGGCGAAAGUAUGCUUACGAGGGGGAGGGAUCAGACUGAUUGCCUCAUAAUGUGGUGUUGGAAUUCUCUGGUUAUCGGCGUCAUAACCCGGUUGGUACUUGGUAAGAUCCGUAUCAUUACCGAUCAGAGUGGCCAUAGGACAUACGUCCUUCACGCAAGCGGCGAAAUCCUUCUGGUCAAAUGGGGUGCCAUCCUCCUUCAAACUGGGAUACCCAAGGGCGAUGUCGGCCGGGUCUAGCUCCGGUAGCCAUGCCUUGGCCCGGCUUAAAGCAGCUAUGGCUCCGGCUCUCGCAGAAGCUCGUCUCAAUUCCUGGAAUCGUUGAGGUAGCACGGCAAGCCGCCUUAGCACAUCCGCCAGAUGAGUGGGAACUUCAUUUGACAGAGCCACGACGGCUAAGGCGCGUUGUGACCCGGUGUAGAGUUGUUCCACCAGGGUAUAAACGACCUUCAAUUUUGUCAGCAUGUUCUGGUUGAGAUUGGCACUCCUGGAGCCUGCAUUACAAGGUCAGGUGAGCUGAGGACAAUUGAGAUGUUUGUUGAAAAAGAUUCAAGCUAGCUAACACUUACAGAAUAACUUACCAAAGAUUGCUGAGACCAUCUGAGAUAUAUGGCAUUUUAAGCCGGAUAGCUCGGCGGUUGUUUCUGCAAGAGUGGCCUCCGCUUGUUCAACCCGGUUGAGUAAAGCGGUCUUUUCAUCCGCCCAGGCCUUUCUUUCUGCCUCAAACUUCUUUUUCAAUUUCUCUUGUGCGGAUAUACUGACUUCAAACUUGGAAUUUGCCUUUUGGGUUUCAAUUUCUUGAGUUUUCAGGCGAUUCUUCAAGUCGGAGAUCUCCGAUUCAAAUUGCUUAAUGGCGGCCUGUAUAAAUUCCGGGUUACAGUUAGGAUUAUCAUAAUGCAACAUUAAGUCCCAAGCACUUUGCAAGCAGAGAUACUUGGCACUUGGGGGCUAAUGUAUGCUAAAGAGCUCUAAUUACAGUGGCGGUUCAUAGGAGAUAAAGUCCCAAGCACGUUGCAAGCAAAGAUACUUGACACUUGGGGGCUAAUGCAUAUUGCUGUUCAAGUACUUGGUUAAAAUACGGUGAAGACCGGUUCAACUAUGCUGUCUAAGCCGGCCCUUGGAUGCUACCGGAUAAGCCGGUUUUCUUACAGUGAUUAUUAAGCUGAUGACAAGUCUAUAACAUAUUUCAUCAUAAGUAAUAGACUUGGGGGCUGGCCUAGUAAGGAUAACUAAGGAACAAGCAACAAGAGUUAUACCUCAGAUUUUUGGUGUAUUUGUUUCACCAUAUCAACUUCCAGAUCCCGGCUGUUGUGCACUUGGUUUACAUAACCAGAGACGAUUUCUCCAAUACUCAGAUGAGCAUAAUCAGUGACAUCCAGCCGGGUUUUGCGACGUUCCAGAAGUUCUUCUUUGGUGGAGCACUUGGCCAGCGCGGUGGGUCUUCCCGGUUCAACGAAGUCAGUCUGGAUGAUUUCGACAUCCGGGUCAUCCGCCUUGGCCGGGCUAGGGUUCUCCGGAUCUUCAGAACCUUCCAUGGCUUGUUCGACGAGUGGAUCAGUGGUGAGAGUUGGAGUGUCAUGAGCUGGUUUAGGCGGUGGCUCACAAGCAGAAGUAUCAGGAGCAGCCGCUCUAAGCUCCGGUUCAGCAAAGACUGGCUCUUCGGCCGGCUUAAUUUUCUUCGUCCUCUUGCUGGGCUUUACUUGUACACUGAAAAUUAAAGGGUUAGUACAAAAAACAUGAGUAAGAUAAGCACAAGAUAAACAGAUUAUCAUUACCCUAGAGCGGUUUUGAAAGCCGGCAUGCUGGACUGCAUUGAUUCGUCAGAGGAAGGUGAAGUUCCCUGAUAGUUUGAGUCAGAAGAAUUGAGUGGUUGACGAGUGAAACCCGCCAAAGGAUACAAAGAAUAUCAAUCAGAGAUAACCUCAGCCCCGCGUUUUCUUGUUGCAUCGGGUAAGCCGGAGGAGAGGUUCGCAUGUUUACUGGUCCGGGUCUGCCUCCAACUCUCGUGAAUCUGGAAAUUGAGGAUCUUAAUAAGCUAAAGGAUGUGAAAAUCUUACUUUCCAGGUUACCCUUCGGAUUUUCUGUCUCGGCAAAGGCUCGGAGUCAGAGGAAAUUAUAGUUACCUCUUCAGUUACUGCAUGACUUGCUCCUGUAUCCUCCUGCUGAUAAUCAAUCCCAAUAAGAUGGUUAAAGAAGGAGCCUAAAGAGUCAAGAGUUACCUCUGACUCGGAGGUAUCGUCCAGAUGAAGCAUAUCCGAGGCGCUAGGUUUGUUCCCCUUCUUACGGGCAGUGGCUUUUUUGGCGGCUUUCUUGGCCUUUCUGUCCUUCUUUGCAGCCUCAUGGUCAUACUUGACCUUCCAGAAUUUAUCACCAGCCUGUAAAAUAUAGCAAGAGUUUUUGAGUAAAGAUGAAAUUGUCAAAGUGGAAAGUAAGAUUCUCAAGUUAAUGGUUUACCGCUGGAGCCGGGUUAGCCUUGCAGAAAGGACUUAAGCCCGCUUUCCCGCAAUCUGCCAGGCUCUCGUUCAGAAGAGACUUGGUCAUGUCAUCAACGAUAUCCUCAGGUAAGUCGUCAGGACUGUGCCGUAGAGGAUCAUUUUUCCGGCCUGUGUAAUCGCACAUCAAGUCGGGGCGGCGGCUCAAGGGAAUCACCCGCCAGGCAAUCCAAACCCGGACCAAGUCAAUGUCGUUUAGGCCGUUCCCCAGAAGAGCUUUGAUCUUGUUGAUAGUGGGGGCAAGUGUUUGACGUUCAGCCGGAGAUAAUUUAUCUGGUAAAGGGUGAGUUGACUCCAGGCGCAGGGCGCGAAAGCCGGACAAGGGGUUCUCAUCAGCCGGAGAAGUGUCCUGACAGUAGAACCAAGUCUGGUUCCAAUCUUUAGGGUGACUCGGCGGCUCGGCAUAAGGGAAGAGUGUUGGAAAUAUGCCCUAGAGGCAAUAAUAAAUGGUUAUUAUUAUAUUUCUUUGUUCAUGAUAAUUGUCUAUUGUUCAUGCUAUAAUUGUGUUAUCCGGAAAUCGUAAUACAUGUGUGAAUACAUAGACCACAACGUGUCCCUAGUAAGCCUCUAGUUGACUAGCUCGUUGAUCAACAGAUAGUCAUGGUUUCCUGACUAUGGACAUUGGAUGUCAUUGAUAACGGGAUCACAUCAUUAGGAGAAUGAUGUGAUGGACAAGACCCAAUCCUAAGCAUAGCUCAAAGAUCGUGUAGUUCGUUUGCUAGAGCUUUUCCAAUGUCAAGUAUCUUUUCCUUAGACCAUGAGAUCGUGCAACUCCCGGAUACCGUAGGAGUACUUUGGGUGUGCCAAACGUCACAACGUAACUGGGUGACUAUAAAGGUACAUUACGGGUAUCUCCGAAAGUGUCUGUUGAGUUGGCACGGAUCGAGACUGGGAUUUGUCACUCCGUAUGACGGAGAGGUAUCUCUGGGCCCACUCGGUAAUGCAUCAUCAUAAUGAGCUCAAUGUGACUAAGGAGUUAGCCAUGGGAUCAUGCAUUAUGGUACGAGUAAAGAGACUUGCCGGUAAUGAGAUUGAACAAGGUAUUGGGAUACCGACGAUCGAAUCUCGGGCAAGUAACAUACCGAUUGACAAAGGGAAUUGUAUACAGGAUUGAUUGAAUCCUCGACAUAGUGGUUCAUCCGAUGAGAUCAUCGUGGAACAUGUGGGAGCCAACAUGGGUAUCCAGAUCCCGUUGUUGGUUAUUGACCGGAGAGGCGUCUCGGUCAUGUCUGCAUGUCUCCCGAACCCGUAGGGUCUACACACUUAAGGUUUGGUGACGCUAGGGUUGUAGAGAUAGUAGUAUGCGGAAACCCGAAAGUUGUUCGGAGUCCCGGAUGAGAUCCCGGACGUCACGAGGAGUUCCGGAAUGGUCCAGAGGUGAAGAAUUAUAUAUAGGAAGUCCAGUUUCGGCCACCGGGAAAGUUUUGGGGGUUAUCGGUAUUGUACCGGGACCACCGGAAGGGUCCCGGGGGUCCACCGGGUGGGGCCACCUAUCCCGGAGGGCCCCAUGGGCUGAAGUGGGAAGGGAACCAGCCCUUAGUGGGCUGGGGCCCCCCCCUUGGGCCUCCCCCUGCGCCUAGGGUUGGCAACCCUAGGGGUGGGGGCGCCCCACUUGGCUUGGGGGGAAACCAACCCCCCUUCCCCCUUGGCCGCCGCCCCCCCCCCCCCAUGUAGAUGGGUUCCAGGGCCGGCGCCCCCCCUCCUCCAGGGGGCCUAUAUAUAGUGGGGGGAGGGAGGGCAGCAGCACCACAUCCCCUGGCGCCUCCCUCUCCCCCUGCAACACCUCUCCCUCUCGCAGAAGCUUGGCGAAGCCCUGCCGAGAUCCCGCUACUUCCACCACCACGCCGUCGUGCUGCUGGAUCUCCAUCAACCUCUCCUUCCCCCUUGCUGGAUCAAGAAGGAGGAGACGUUGCUGCUCCGUACGUGUGUUGAACGCGGAGGUGUCGUCCGUUCGGCACUCGGUCAUCGGUGAUUUGGAUCACGGCGAGUACGACUCCAUCAACCCCGUUCAUUGGAACGCUUCCGCUCGCGAUCUACAAGGGUAUGUAGAUGCACUCCUUUCCCCUCGUUUCUAGUAUACUCCAUAGGUGGAUCUUGGUGAUGCGUAGGAAAUUUUAAAAUUCUGCUACAUAACCCAACAGUGGCAUCAUGAGCCAGGCCUAUGCGUAGUUACUAUGCACGAGUAGAACACAAAGCAGUUGUGGGCAUAGAUGUUACCAAUUCUUCUUGCCGCUACUAGUCUUAUCUUGUUUCGGCGGUAUUGUGGGAUGAAGCGGCCCGGACCGACCUUACACGUACGCUUACGUGAGACAGGUUCCACCGACUAACAUGCACUAGUUGCAUAAGGUGGCUAGCGGGUGUCUGUCUCUCCCACUUUAGUCGAAACGGAUUUGAUGAAAAGGGUCCUUAUGAAGGGUAAAUAGAAAUUGGCAUAUCACGUUGUGGUUUUACGUAGGUUAGAAAUGUUCUUGCUAGAAACCUAUACAAGACACGUAAAAAAACUUGCAACAACAAUUAGAGGACGUCUAACUUGUUUUUGCAGCAUGUGCUAUGUGAUGUGAUAUGGCCAGAAGAUGUGAUGAAUGAUAUAUGUGAUGUAUGAGAUUGAUCAUAUUCUUGUAAUAGGAAUUACGACUUGCAUGUCGAUGAGUAUGACAACCGGCAGGAGCCAUAGGAGUUGUCUUUAUUUUUUUGUAUGACCUGCGUGUCAUUGAAUAACGCCAUGUAAAUUACUUUACUUUAUUGCUAAACGCGUUAGCCAUAGAAGUAGAAGUAAUCGUUGGCGUGACAACUUCAUGAAGACACAAUGAUGGAGAUCAUGGUGUCAUGCCGGUGACGAAGAUGAUCAUGGUGCCCCGAAGAUGGAGAUCAAAGGAGCAAAAUGACAUUGGCCAUAUCAUGUCACUAUUUGAUUGCAUGUGAUGUUUAUCAUGUUUUGCAUCUUAUUUGCUUAGAACGACGGUAGUAAGUAAGAUGAUCCCUUAUAAUAAUUUCAGGAAAGUGUUCUCCCUAACUGUGCACCGUUGCGAAGGUUCGUUGUUUCGAAGCACCACGUGAUGAUCGGGUGUGAUAGAUUCUAACGUUCGCAUACAACGGGUGUUGACGAGCCUAGCAUGUACAGACAUGGCCUCGGAACACACGCAAUACACUUAGGUUGACUUGACGAGCCUAGCAUGUACAGACAUGGCCUCGGAACACGGAGGACCGAAAGGUCGAGCAUGAGUCGUAUAGAAGAUAUGAUCAGCAUGCAGAUGUUCACCGAUCUUGACUAGUCCGUCUCACGUGAUGAUCGGACACGGCCUAGUUAACUCGGAUCAUGUUUCACUUAGAUGACUAGAGGGAUGUCUAUCUGAGUGGGAGUUCAUUGAGUAAUUUUAUUAGAUGAACUUAAUUAUCAUGAACUUAGUCUAAAAUCUUUACAAUAUGUCUUGUAGAUCAAAUGGCCCACGUUGUCCUCAACUCCAACGCGUUCCUAGAGAAAACCAAGCCGAAAGAUGAUGGCAGCAACUAUACGGACUGGGUCCGGAACUUGAGGAUCAUCCUCAUAGCUGCCAAGAAAGAUUAUGUCCUAGAAGCACCGCUAGGUGAAGCACCAAUCCCAGAGAACCAAGACGUUAUGAACGCUUGGCAAUCACGUGCUGAUGAUUACUCCCUCGUUCAGUGCGGCAUGCUUUACAGCUUAGAACCGGGUCUCCAAAAGCGUUUUGAGAAACAUGGAGCAUAUGAGAUGUUCGAAGAGCUGAAAAUGGUUUUCCAAGCUCAUGCCCGGGUCGAGAGAUAUGAAGUCUCCGACAAGUUCUUCAGCUGUAAAAUGGAGGAAAACAGUUCUGUUAGUGAGCACAUACUCAGAAUGUCUGGGUUACACAACCGCUUGUCUCAGCUGGGAGUUAAUCUCCCGGAUGACGCGGUCAUUGACAGAAUCCUUCAGUCGCUUCCACCAAGCUACAAGAGCUUUGUGAUGAACUUCAAUAUGCAGGGGAUGGAAAAGACCAUUCCUGAGGUAUAUUCGAUGCUGAAAUCAGCGGAGGUGGAGAUCAAAAAGGAACAUCAAGUGUUGAUGGUGAAUAAAACCACUAAGUUCAAGAAAGGCAAGGGCAAGAAGAACUUCAAGAAGGACAGCAAGGGAGUUGCCGCGCCCGGUAAGCCAGUUACUGGGAAGAAGUCAAGGAAUGGACCCAAGCCUGAGACUGAGUGCUUUUAUUGCAAGGGAAGUUGUCACUGGAAGCGGAACUGCCCCAAAUACUUAGCGGACAAGAAGGCUAGCAACACCAAAGGUAUAUGUGAUAUACAUGUAAUUGAUGUGUACCUUACCAGUACUCGUAGUAGCUCCUGGGUAUUUGAUACCGGUGCGGUUGCUCAUAUUUGUAACUCAAAACAGGAACUGCGGAAUAAGCGGAGACUGGCGAAGGACGAGGUGACGAUGCGCGUCGGGAAUGGUUCCAAGGUCGAUGUGAUCGUCGUCGGCACGCUACCUCUGCAUCUACCUACGGGAUUAGUUUUAAACCUCAAUAAUUGUUAUUUAGUGCCAGCUUUGAGCAUGAACAUUGUAUCUGGAUCUCGUUUAAUUCGAGAUGGCUACUCAUUUAAAUCCGAGAAUAAUGGUUGUUCUAUUUAUAUGAGAGAUAUGUUUUAUGGUCAUGCCCCGCUGGUCAAUGGUUUAUUCUUGAUGAAUCUCGAACGUGAUGUUACACAUAUUCAUAGUGUGAAUACCAAAAGAUGUAAAGUUGAUAACGAUAGUCCCACAUACUUGUGGCACUACCGCCUUGGUCACAUUGGUGUCAAGCGCAUGAAGAAGCUCCAUGCAGAUGGACUUUUGGAGUCUCUUGAUUACGAAUCAUUUGACACGUGCGAACCAUGCCUCAUGGGUAAGAUGACCAAGACUCCGUUCUCCGGAACAAUGGAGCGAGCAACCAACUUAUUGGAAAUCAUACAUACCGAUGUGUGCGGUCUAAUGAGUGUUGAGGCUCGCGGAGGAUAUCGUUAUGUUCUCACUCUCACUGAUGACUUAAGUAGAUAUGGGUAUGUCUACCUAAUGAAACACAAGUCUGAAACCUUUGAAAAGUUCAAGGAAUUUCAGAGUGAGGUUGAGAAUCAACGUGACAGGAAAAUAAAAUUCUUACGAUCAGAUCGUGGUGGAGAAUAUUUAAGUCACGAAUUUGGUACGCACUUAAGGAAAUGUGGAAUCGUUUCACAACUCACGCCGCCCGGAACACCUCAGCGAAACGGUGUGUCCGAACGUCGUAAUCGCACUCUAUUGGAUAUGGUGCGAUCUAUGAUGUCUCUUACCGAUUUACCGCUCUCAUUUUGGGGCUAUGCUUUAGAGACUACCGCAUUCACUUUAAAUAGGGCUCCGUCGAAAUCCGUUGAGACGACACCGUAUGAAUUAUGGUUUGGGAAGAAACCUAAGCUGUCGUUUCUAAAAGUUUGGGGAUGCGAUGCUUAUGUCAAGAAACUUCAACCUGAAAAGCUCGAACCCAAGUCGAAAAAAUGCGUCUUCAUAGGAUACCCCAAGGAAACUAUUGGGUAUACCUUCUACCUCAGAUCCAAAGGCAAGAUCUUUGUUGCCAAGAACGGGUCCUUUCUGGAGAAAGAGUUUCUCUCGAAAGAAUUGAGUGGGAGGAAAGUGGAACUUGAUGAGGUGAUAGUCACCCCUUCCGAACCGGAAAGUAGCGCAGCGCGGGAAGAUGUUCCUGUGGUGCCUACACCGACUGGGGAGGAAGUUAAUGAUGAUGCUCAUGAAGCUUCGGAUCAAGUUACUGCUGAACUUCGUAGGUCCACAAGGACACGUUCCGCACCAGAGUGGUACGGCAACCUUGUCCUGGAAAUCAUGUUGUUAGACAACGGUGAACCUUCGAACUAUGAAGAAGCGAUGGCGGGCCCGGAUUCCGACAAAUGGCUAGAAGCCAUGAAAUCUGAGAUAGGAUCCAUGUAUGAAAACGAAGUAUGGACUUUGACUGACUUGCCCGAUGAUCGGCGAGCCAUAGAAAACAAAUGGAUCUUUAAGAAGAAGACAGACGCGGAUGGUAAUGUGACCAUCUAUAAGGCUCGACUUGUCGCUAAGGGUUAUCGACAAGUUCAAGGGGUUGACUACGAUGAGACUUUCUCACCCGUAGCGAAGCUGAAGUCCGUCCGAAUCAUGUUAGCAAUUGCCGCAUACUAUGAUUAUGAGAUAUGGCAGAUGGACGUCAAAACGGCAUUCCUUAAUGGCUUCCUUAAGGAAGAAUUGUAUAUGAUGCAGCCGGAAGGUUUUGUCGAUCCUAAGAAUGCUGACAAAGUAUGCAAGCUCCAGCGCUCAAUCUAUGGGCUGGUGCAAGCAUCUCGGAGUUGGAACAUUCGCUUUGAUGAGAUGAUCAAAGCGUUUGGGUUUACACAGACUUAUGGAGAAGCUUGUGUUUACAAGAAAGUGAGUGGGAGUCACAUGACGAUGUGAACUAUGGGUGUUAAUCACAUGAUGAUGUGAACUAUUGAUGUUAAAUCACAUGGUGAUGUGAUCUAGAUUAUUGACUCUAGUGCAAGUGGGAGACUGAAGGAAAUAUGCCCUAGAGGCAAUAAUAAAGUUAUUAUUUAUUUCCUUAUUUCAUGAUAAAUGUUUAUUAUUCAUGCUAGAAUUGUAUUAACCGGAAACAUAAUACUUGUGUGAAUACAUAGACAGCAGAGUGUCACUAGUAUGCCUCUACUUGACUAGCUCGUUGAUCAAAGAUGGUUAUGUUUCCUAGCCAUAGACAUGAGUUGUCAUUUGAUUAACGGGAUCACAUCAUUAGGAGAAUGAUGUGAUUGACUUGACCCAUUCCGUUAGCUUAGCACUUGAUCGUUUAGUAUUCUGCUAUUGCUUUCUUCAUGACUUAUACAUGUUCCUAUGACUGUGAGAUUAUGCAACUCCCGUUUAUCGGAGGAACACUUUGUGUGCUACCAAACAUCACAACGUAACUGGGUGAUUAUAAAGGUGCUCUACAGGUGUCUCCGAAGGUACUUGUUGGGUUGGCGUAUUUCGAGAUUAGGAUUUGUCACUCCGAUUGUCGGAGAGGUAUCUCUGGGCCCACUCGGUAAUGCACAUCACUAUAAGCCUUGCAAGCAUUGUAACUAAUGAGUUAGUUGCGGGAUGAUGUAUUACGGAACGAGUAAAGAGACUUGCCGGUAACGAGAUUGAACUAGUUACUGAGAUACCGACGAUCGAAUCUCGGGCAAGUAACAUACCGAUGACAAAGGGAACAACGUAUGUUGUUAUGCGGUUUGACCGAUAAAGAUCUUUGUAGAGUAUGUAGGAGCCAAUAUGAGCAUCCAGGUUCCGCUAUUGGUUAUUGACCGGAGACGUGUCUCGGUCAUGUCUACAUAGUUCUCGAACCCGUAGGGUCCGCACGCUUAAAGUUCGAUGACGAUUUGUAUUAUGAGUUAUGUGAUUUGAUGUACCGAAGGUAGUUCGGAGUCCCGGAUGAGAUCGGGGACAUGACGAGGAGUCUCGAAAUGGUCGAGAUGUAAAGAUCGAUAUAUUGGACGACUAUAUCCGGACAUCGGAAAGGUUCCGAGUGAUUCAGGUAUUUUCGGAGUACCGGGGAGUUACGGGAAUUCACCGGGAGAAGUAUUGGGCCUUAUUGAGCCAUACGGGAAUAGAGGAGAGAGGCCAAAAGGAAGGAGGCGCGCCCCCCUGGUCCGAAUUGGACAAGGGGUGCAGCCCCCUUUUCCUUCUCCCUCUCCCCCUCUUUCCUUCUCUCCUACUCCGGAAAGGACAGGGGAAUCCUACUAGGACUUGGGAGUCCUAGUAGGACUCCCCACACUUGGCGCGCCCCCUCUAGGGCCGGCCUCUUCCUUGCUCCUUUAUACACCCUGAGAAUCAUGCUACAGUAACCCCCUGUGAUUAAGCUAAUCAUGUUGCUAAACAGGGCUUGAUCACAUUUGAAUCACCUUCCUUUCAAACUCCUAGCUCAAACUUCAAAUAUAAUUAAAGUGAAAAAUAAAAGUUUUCAAAAAUUCAAACAAAAAUGUUCAGUGGGUGCUAAAUAAUACACUGGUAACUAUGGUGGAGAAAACACAUUUUUAUAAAAUGUCUAAAUACUUUUAAAUGAAAUAAAACAGAAAAGGGAAUAAGCAAAUAAAGAGAAAACAGAAAACAGAACCCAGGCAGAGAAAAAGAAAAAAAAGGGGGAAAAAGGCCCGCUUCCCCCCACUGCCCCCCCGGCCCAAACUGGGCCGCAGCCGCGCCCCCGGCCCAGCCCACCUCCUCCCUCGCCCCUUCCCUGUUCCCCCGACCGGGUCGGAACAGGGGCGCGCUGCCGCCCGACCCCCUCGCCGGCACCGACACCGGAGGGGAUAAGGUCGCCAGCUCCCCCGCCUCCUCGGGCCUCCCUCCCACUCACCCCGCUCUCCCUCUCGGCCCCCGCGCCUCCCUCUUCCCUCCCCCGGAUCCNNNNNNNNNNNNNNNNNNNNNNNNNNNNNNNNNNNNNNNNNNNNNNNNNNNNNNNNNNNNNNNNNNNNNNNNNNNNNNNNNNNNNNNNNNNNNNNNNNNNNNNNNNNNNNNNNNNNNNNNNNNNNNNNNNNNNNNNNNNNNNGGCGCGCUGCCGCCCGACCCCCUCGCCGGCACCGACGCCGGAGGGGAUAAGGUCGCCAGCUCCCCCGCCUCCUCGGGCCUCCCUCCCACUCACCCCGCUCUCCCUCUCGGCCCCCGCGCCUCCCUCUUCCCUCCCCCGGAUCCGCGCCGCUCUCCUCUGCCCCACGCCCGACGCGCUCGCCGCCGUUCCCGUCGUUCACGCGGCCACCGUGCCCCACUCGCCACCUCGCCGUGUCGUACGACGUCGCCGCCCUCGACUACACCCCCUCCGCCUCUCCGUCGAAGCUCGGAGCCACUACAACGACCUCUCCGAGCUCGCCUUCAUCUUUGGACGCCGGCGACCCCCUUCUUCCCCGGCGACGACCUGCUGCUACUAAGCCACCCACGGGCCUUUCUUGCGCCGCGCGGUGAGCUCCUCUACCUCCUCCCCCUCUCCGUUAGCUCGCUCGCGCUCCGUAGCUGCUUCCCCGCGCACGCCCGAACGCCACGCCGCGGAGCUCGCCGCCGGCGUGUCUCCGGUGACCAAAUGGUCACGGGCGUUGGCCCGCUAGCCCGACCGCACCGAGCCGCACCCGCCUAGGUAGUUAGUUCGGCCGUUCGCGCGCUCUAGCGUAGCUUCCGUCGGGCACCCGUAGCACCUCGCCGCCGGCGAGUUCAUAGCGCUCGUCUCCGGCCGUUCCAGCCCCUCCGACCACCGCCGUUGGACGCGCGACGUCGAGCCGCGUCGAACGCGCCAAGCCCCGCCCCCGCAAACCCACUGUGGGCGUAACCCGAAGCACACCCGCGCAUCGCCGCCGCGUUGGAGCUCGCCGGAGCCCCUCUCCGGUGCCCUGCCGACGUGGCCGGCCGGGCCCCCCUGGCUCACCGCCAGUGGCCCCCACGGGCCCCAGUUGACUGGGUUGACCCAGUCAACUGCUGACUGGGCAGGCCCAGUCACUGACAUGCGGGCCCCGCCGCAAAAAUUAAAAAAGAAAAUGUUUUAUAAAUAAAAAUAAUUAGUUUAAUUAAUCUCUCACUGACAGGUGGGCCCAGUAGUUAAUUAACUAAAAACUAAUUAGUUUAAUCCUCUGUUAACCCACUGUCUAUGACAGGUGGGUCCCCCUUGUCAGUUUGACCAGUCAACCCGGACUGUUGACCGCUGACGUCACUCAUACGUCAUGCUGACGUCAUAUCCCUUUUUCUGUUAAUUAAAUAAUUCCAGAAAUUCAAAUAAACUUUGAAAAUUCAUAUCUUUUAAACCGUAACUCGGAUGAAAAUGUUUUCUAUAUGAAAGUUGCUCAGCACGACGAGACGAAUCCGAAUACGCAGUCCGUUCGUCCACCACACCUCCCUAACCUAUCGAACUCGCAACUUUCCCCCUCCGGUCCUUCUGUCCGAAAACGUGAAACAUCAGGAAUACCUCCCGGAUGUUCCCCCUUCACCGGUACCACCUACUGUCGCGUUAGGACACCCCUAGCACCGCUCACUGUCAUGUCACGCAUCGUCAUGCUUAUGUUUGCAUUGUAUUUACUGUUUCUUCCCCCUCUUCUCUCCGGUAGACUACGAGACCGACACUGCUGCUGCCCAGUUCGACUACGGAGUCGACGACCCCUCCUACUUGCCAGAGCAACCAGGCAAGCCCCCCCCCUUGAUCACCAGAUAUCGCCUACUCUCCUCUAUACUGCUUGCAUUAGAGUAGUAUAGCAUGUUACUGCUUUCCGAUAUCCUAUCCUGAUGCAUAGCCUAUCCUUGCUACUACUGUUGUUACCUUGCCUGCAAUCCUACAUGCUUAGUAUAGGAUGCUAGAUUUCCAUCAGUGGCCCUACAUUCUUGUCCGUCUGCUGUGCUACACUAUCGGGCCGUGAUCACCUGGGCGGUGAUCGCGGGUAUAUACUUAUAUACUAUAUACAUGACACAUGUGAUGACUAAAGUCGGGUCGGCUCGUAGGAGUACCCGCAAGUGGAUCUUUGUGGCGGAGCGACAGGGCAGGUUGAGACCGCCUAGGUGAGAGGUGGGCCUGGCCCUGGUCGGCGUUCGCGAAUACUUAACACGCUUAACGAGAUCUUGGUAUUUGAUCUGAGUCUGGCCAUUUGGUCUAUACGCACUAGCCAUCUACGCGGGAGUAGUUAUGGGUAUCCCGGCGUCGUGGUAUCAGCCGAAGCCUUCGUGACGUCAGCGACUGAGUGGCGCGCACCGUGUUGGACCGCUUUGACGUAACCGCCGUGAUCGUGUGGGUUGCUAGGUCUGCUCGCGGCCGCGUUCGCAACGUGCAGGUGUGCAUAGGGCGAUGGGCCCAGACCCCUGCGCGCUUAGGAUUAGACCGGCGUGCUGACCGCUCUGUUGUGCUUAGGUGGGGCUGCGACGCGUUGAUCUUACGAGGCCGGGCAUGACCCAGAAAAGUGUGUCCGGCCAAUUGGGAUCGAGCGUGUUGGGUUAUGUGGUGCACCCCUGAAGGGAAGUUUAUCUAUUCGAAUAGCCGUGUCCCUCGGUAAAAGGACGACCCGGAGUUGUACCUUGAGCUUAUGACAACUAGAACUGGAUACUGAAUAAAAUACACCCUUCCAAGUGCCAGAUACAACCCGGUGAUCGCUCUCUAACAGGGCGACGAGGAGGGGAUUGCUGGGUAGGAUUAUGUUAUGCGAUGCUACUUGGAGGACUUCACUCUAUUCUCUUCUAUAUGCUGCAAGAUGGAGAUGACCAGAAGCGUAGUCUUCGACAGGACUAGCUAUCCCCCUUUUAAUUCUGGCAUUCUGCAGUUCAGUCCACUGAUAUGCCCCUUUACACAUAUACCCAUGCAUAUGUAGUGUAGCUCCUUGCUUGCGAGUACUUUGGAUGAGUACUCACGGUUGCUUCUCUCCCUCUUUUUCCCCCUUUCCUUUCUAUCUGGUUGUCGCAACCAGAUGUUGGAGUCCAGGAGCCAGACGCCACCGUCGACGACGACUCCCACGGCACUGGAGGUGCCUACUACUACGUGCAGGCCGCUGACGACGACCAGGAGUAGUUAGGAGGUCCCAGGCAGGAGGCCUUGCCUUUUCGGUCGUUGCUACUUUUGUGCUAGCCUUCUUAAGGCAAACUUGUUUAACUUAUGUCUGUACUCAGAUAUUAUUGCUUCCGCUGACUCGUCUGUGAUCGAGCACUUGUAUUCGAGCCCUCGAGGCCCCUGGCUUGUAUUAUGAUGCUUGUAUGACUUAUUUAUGUUUUAGAGUUGUGUUGUGAUAUCUUCCCGUGAGUCCCUGAUCUUGGUCGUACACAUUUGCGUGCAUGAUUAGUGUACGGUCAAAUCGGGGGCGUCACAAGUUGGUAUCAGAGCCGACUGCCUGUAGGAAUCCCCCUUUCCAACUCCUUGGCCGAAGUUGAGUCUAGUCAGUGAAAACUGUUUUACUAACAUGGCUGUGUGGCUUACGGGCCCACGUCGCCAUUGGGUGGUACUAGGAUCUUUUACUCCUCGACCUUUACUCUGGGACUCUGAACUCUCUUCUACUCGGGUUAAACGAAUUUACUAACUCUAACACUAGGAUCCCGUGACCGCGUUCACCCCAAAGAUGGAUAAGCCAUAGUUGUUUCUUAGAAUAGUAUUUUGAACAAUUCACACACUGUCAAUUGACUCCUUUGAAACGUCUUUGCUUUCAGAUGGAACCCUCGAGGCAGGUCAUGCGCCACACGACGGCCAUUGGUGCCUCGGGAUCACCUGCGGUGCUAGCUGAGAUGAUGACCUAUCUGGGUUAUCGCUGGCACCCUGAGUACACCGUCUACGAGGAGUACCAGGACUUUAACCAGGAGCAGUACCGUGCCAUCGUCCACCUCUACUCUCGGGAGUACGACUCCACUACUGUGCUGCACACCGCACAUGGUGUUGGUGUGACCAUCGAUAUGGCUGUCCACGAUGCAGCCUAUGCUGCUCUGACACGUCUUCGUGGAGAGUAUCGGGAGUUGGACACCUCCCCUUUCAGGCACAUUGCUAUCGCCUCUGAUGUUGGUGCAGAGGGAUACUAUACUGCUGCCUACUCCACUGUCACCCGAGAGCCCUUCUACCAUCAGCACCUGGUUCUGCAUGCUGAUGGGCUGGAUCGAGCUAACCGAGCUCUUCGUCACGAGAUGUACACCACCCGUCAGCACCUUUACCGUGCUCUGACGCUGCUGCACCCCUUUGUACGGUCUGGACAGGUACCGCGUUCUGCGAUCUACCCAGCCAGGACCGUGAUGCCCCACGGUGUUGGUUGGCCAGAGGUGGGAGGCUACUCUCCCGCACUUGGCCCUCUUCUGCCACCUGAGCGUCGGGCUCUACACCUGAGUAUCCGCGGCCCCCAGUCUGCUGACGUCGAGGGCUAUCCGUUGCCUCACUACCAGCUGUCGGGCUACGAUUACCUCCACAGUACCUCUUGGGACUGAUGUAGGCUUGAUUGUAGUAUUAGUUGCAGUCGCCGCGAGCCUGUGUGCCGCCUAUGAUGUUUUAGUCUAUGUACUGAACUCUGUGUACUGAACUCUAUGCAUGACCCCUUUUGUAAACUAUGCCGACUACUAUGUAGUAGCUAUCGUGCUCCUUUCAAUUAUGCAUGUUUCAUCAUGAAUGAUUCUUGUCAUUGCAAAUUUUCUCAAUGCUGAACUACCCCUGUUAUAUAUUAGCAGGAUGGUUAGACCAGGUGGUCGUGGUCGUGGUGGCGAUGCCCCACCACCACCUGAGUACAUGGCUGGUAUGAUCCAACAGUUCGAACUGAACCGCCAAUUCAUGGAAAAUAUGAUGGCUCAGUUUCCUCGCCCCAAUAUGAACCAGCAGCCAGCCCAAGUGACUCUUCAAGAUUUCAUACGCCUCAACCCAACCAUCUACCGCAGCUCAACUCAGCCUUUGGAUGCUGAUGACUGGCUCCGUGACAUCACCUAUGAGAUGGAGUCUGCUGAUGUAGCCCCUGCCAGCUAUGUCAACUUUGCUUCCUUCUUUCUGAAGGGACCCGCGGCUCAAUGGUGGGACAGCCACAGGCGUACUCUGCCAGCUGGAACAAUCAUCACCUGGCCAGACUUCCAAGCUGCUUUCCGUGCCCGCUUCAUUCCUCAGGGAGUCAUGGACCGGAAGAAGGGUGAGUUCCGCAACCUCACCCAAGGCAACAAAACUGUCGAAGCUUAUCAGCGGGAGUUUCUGGACUUGUCCCGCUAUGCUGAAGAAGACAUUGCAACUGAUGCACGCAGACAGGAGAAGUUCCGUGAUGGACUACAAGCUGACAUCAAGCUCGCACUUCUAGUGCAUGACUUCGCCGAUUUCGCCACCUUGGUGAAUAAGGCCAUCAAUGUCGAGACUGGUCUGCAGGAAUACCAGAGCUCUCAGAGGCGCAACCGUGACACGGGCUCAUCUUCGGGCUCACCCUCACAGAAGCGUAAGAUAUGGAUCCCGAACAGCAUGUAUCAUCCAAAUGCACCUGCUCCCAGGAAAUCUUAUGCUGCACCGCGUCUGCCUCCUCCACCAUCUAGGCAGUCAAAGCUACCAGCUCCCCCACCUGGGGCUCCUGUUCCCACUCCCGAUAAUGGUCUGUGCUUCAAGUGUGGUCAACCGGGUCACUUUGCCAGGAACUGCUAUCAGAACCAGAAUCAACUGGCCCUUCCAGCAGCUGGCCGUGGUAACAACCAGCCCCGCAACAACAAUGCUAAGUCUUAUGGUCGUGCUCAUGCCAACCACGUUGAUCUCAGCGAAGCUCAAGACCAGCCUGCUACUGUGAUGGGUACACUCCUCGUAAAUUCAGUACCAGCAUCCGUUUUAUUUGAUACAGGAGCAUCCCAUUCAUUCAUAUCUGCAGAAUUUGCAUUCCUGCAUGGCAUUAAUUACGAAGAGAUAAACACUCCGCUAGUGGUACACACCCCUGCGGGCCAAUGUCAAACCUCUAUGGUUAGUCGCGAUGUUACUGUUGAAAUUGAAGGACUGGAAUUUCUUGUCUCUCCCAUCGUACUGAAGUCCUGUAGCAUUGAUCUCAUUCUAGGAAUGAAUUGGUUAAAAGCGCAUACUGCUUCAAUCGUUUGCACCACUAAGACCGUCCAUCUGCUACACCCUUCAGAUGAGAUAGUUACUUACCAAGCCCAUCUGGUGCAAAAUGCCGAGGCAAGGCUCUAUGCAUUGAAUGCAUUGAACGCUGCACCACUCGAGGGCAUUGAAAACAUUCCCGUCGUGCGUGAAUUCCUCGACGUCUUCCCUGAAGAACUUCCAGGGAUUCCCCCUGCUAGAGCUGUCGAAUUCAUCAUCGACUUGAAACCAGGCACCACUCCUAUAGCAAAGCGACCCUACAAAAUGCCGCCGCAUGAACUCCUUGAGCUUAAGGAGGAAAUCGACAAGUCUCUUCGCAAAGGAUUCAUUCGCCCAAGUUGCUCUCCUUGGGGAGCACCUUCUCUCUUUGUCAAGAAGAAGGAUGGGACAAACCGGUUAGUUCAAGACUACCGUCCUAUAAACCAAGCUACCAUUCAGAAUAAAUAUCCUCUUCCUCGGAUCAAUGAUCUGUAUGAUCAACUGGCGGGUUCGUCAGUGUUCUCUAAGCUCGAAUUGAGGUUGGGCUACCACCAGAUCCGUGUUCGCGAAGAGGAUAUCCCAAAGACCGCCUUCGUGACUCGCUAUGGUUCAUACGAGUACACCGUCAUGUCUUUCGGUUUAACCAAUGCUCCAGCCACCUUCUCUCGUCUGAUGAACUACAUAUUCAUGGAUUACCUCGACAAGUUCGUCGUGGUUUAUCUGGAUGAUAUCCUGAUAUUUUCCAAGAACGAAGAAGAACAUGCGGAACAUCUUCGUCUUGUGCUGGAAAAACUACGAGAACAUCAACUAUAUGCCAAGUUCUCUAAAUGUGAAUUCUGGCUACCGGAAGUAACCUAUCUUGGGCAUGUCAUCUCUAAGGAUGGUAUUGCCGUCAACCCUGAACGAGUUCAGGCUAUUCUUGAUUGGACUCCUCCCAAGAACGUUAAGCAAGUCAGAAGUUUUCUCGGUCUCGCCAGCUAUUGCCGUCGAUUCGUCGAGAACUUCUCUAAGAUCGCCAGGCCUCUGACUAACCUGUUGCAUAAGGGUGUCAAGUUCCAAUGGACAGACAAAUGUCAGGAAAGUUUCCAGGCACUCAAAGACAAGUUGACUUCUGCCCCAGUUCUAGCUCCACCUGAUACUAAGAAGGACUUCGUCAUUUAGUGCGACGCUUCCCGUCAAGGGUUAGGCUGUGUCCUAAUGCAAGACCGCAAAGUGAUUGCUUAUGCCUCUCGACAAUUGCGCCCUCACGAAGAGAACUACCCAGUUCACGACCUCGAACUUGCUGCAGUCAUUCAUGCGCUGAAGCAGUGGCGACAUUACCUUCUCGGUAAUCGUUGCGAGAUCUUCACUGACCACCAAAGUCUGAAGUAUCUGUUUACUCAGCCAGAUCUGAACCUCCGCCAGCAGAGAUGGAUGGAGCUUGUUGCGGACUUUGACUUGGGUAUUUCCUAUACGCCAGGCAAGGCUAAUGUAAUGGCUGAUGCCUUGAGCCACAAGUCUUACUGCAACCACCUCCAGGUUCACAAAGUUCAGCCCUCGCUUGUUGAAGAAUUUAGGAAGCUGAACCUCCAUAUUGUUCCUCCGGGUGCACUCGCUCCCCCUCCUAAGGAGUUUCGCAAGAUGAACCUCCACGUUGUUGCCCAGGGUUCCCUCAAUACCCUAGUUGCUAAACCAGAUCUCGAGGACAGCAUCAAAAGGCUACAGAAGUAUGACUCUGAAGCCUACAAGAUUAAGCGCUACCUCGCAGAAGGAAAGCCCUCAUUCUUCACCAUUUCUGAAGAUGGCACCCUAUACUUCAAGGGCCGCCUAGUGGUGCCAUGUGCAGAGAAAAACCUGGAUAUGACACAGGAAGUUAUGAAAGAAGCUCAUGAUACGCCUCUAUGUAUCCAUCCUGGUAGUACAAAGAUGUACCAAGACAUCCGUCAGAGAUUCUGGUGGACUAAUAUGAAGCAAGACAUUGCUCGUUAUGUUGCUGAGUGUGACAUUUGCCGUCGAAUCAAAGCAGAACAUCAAAGGCCUGCUGGAACUCUGCAACCUAUCUCUAUUCCUGAAUGGAAAUGGGACCAUGUUGAAAUGGACUUCGUCACUGGAUUUCCCAAAUCACAGAAAGGUAAUGAUGCUAUUCUUGUCGUCAUUGACCGACUUUCCAAAGUUGCACAUUUUCUGGCAGUCAAAGAAACGAUCACUGCUAGCCAGUUGGCAACGCUCUAUAUGUCCAGGAUUGUUUCACUCCACGGUAUUCCAUUGGUUAUCAGUUCAGACCGUGGUAGCUUAUUCACUUCAAGAUUCUGGGCAAGUUUCCAAGAAGCAAUGGGAACUCAUCUGUCAUUCAGUACUGCGUUUCAUCCUCAAUCGCAAGGACAAGUUGAACGCGUCAAUCAAGUUCUCGAAGACAUGCUUCGAGCUUGCGUUAUUUCCUUCGGCAAGAAAUGGGAGGAAUCUCUCCCGUAUGCCGAGUUCUCUUAUAAUAAUAGCUAUCAAGCUAGUCUGAAGAUGGCCCCCUUCGAAGUGUUAUAUGGACGAAAGUGCCGAACCCCCCUGAACUGGUCAGAAACUGGGGAACGUCCACUCAUCGGACCGGAUAUUACCCAACAUGCCGAAGAACAAGUCCGCAUUAUUCGCGAGAAUCUCAAGACUGCUCAGUCACGUCAGAAGAGUCAGUAUGACCGUCAUCAUAAAGACAUGGUCUAUCAACCUGGCGAAAAGGCUUAUCUUCGAGUCACACCUAUGAAGGGUGCUCACCGCUUCGGGAUCAAGGGCAAACUAGCUCCUCGCUAUAUUGGCCCAUUCACUAUUCUCGAAAGGCGUGGAAAAGUGGCAUACCAACAGGAGCUACCGCCGAACCUUUCUCAGGUUCACGAUGUGUUCCAUGUGUCACAGCUCCGCCGUUGCUUCAAGGAUCCAAUCCGAGCUGUGGAUCAUGAAGUGCUCGAAUUACAGCAAGACCUCUCCUAUAAGGAGCAUCCGGUCCGCAUUCUCGACCAAGCUGAACGCCGCACACGUCAGAAGGCGAUCAAAUUUCUCAAAGUCCAGUGGUCGCACCAUUCUGAAGAUGAGGCCACUUGGGAACGAGAGGAUCGUCUGCGCGAAGAAUACCCCGCACUGUUUCCUUCUACCUCCUAAAUCUCGGGACGAGAUUUCUUGUAGUGGAGGAGAUUUGUAACACCCUGAGAAUCAUGCUACAGUAACCCCCUAUGAUUAAGCUAAUCAUGUUGCUAAACAGGGCUUGAUCACAUUUGAAUCACCUUCCUUUCAAACUCCUAGCUCAAACUUCAAAUAUAAUUAAUGUGAAAAAUAAAAGUUUUCAAAAAUUCAAACAAAAAUGUUCAGUGGGUGCUAAAUAAUACACUGGUAACUAUGGUGGAGAAAACACAUUUUUAUAAAAUGUCUAAAUACUUUUAAAUGAAAUAAAACAGAAAAGGGAAUAAGCAAAUAAAGAGAAAACAGAAAACAGAACCCAGGCAGAGAAAAAGAAAAAAAAGGGGAAAAAGGCCCACUGCCCCCCCGGCCCAAACUGGGCCGCGCCCCCGGCCCAGCCCACCUCCUCCCUCGCCCCUUCCCUGUUCCCCCGACCGGGUCGGAACAGAGGCGCGCUGCCGCCCGACCCCCUCGCCGGCACCGACGCCGGAGGGGAUAAGGUCGCCAGCUCCCCCGCCUCCUCGGGCCUCCCUCCCACUCACCCCGCUCUCCCUCUCGGCCCCCGCGCCUCCCUCUUCCCUCCCCCGGAUCCGCGCCGCUCUCCUCUGCCCCACGCCCGACGCGCUCGCCGCCGUUCCCGUCGUUCACGCGGCCACCGUGCCCCACUCGCCACCUCGCCGUGUCGUACGACGUCGCCGCCCUCGACUACACCCCCUCCGCCUCUCCGUCGAAGCUCGGAGCCACUACAACGACCUCUCCGAGCUCGCCUUCAUCUUCGGACGCCGGCGACCCCCUUCUUCCCCGGCGACGACCUGCUGCUACUAAGCCACCCACGGGCCUUUCUUGCGCCGCGCGGUGAGCUCCUCUACCUCCUCCCCCUCUCCGUUAGCUCGCUCGCGCUCCGUAGCUGCUUCCCCGCGCGCGCCCGAACGCCACGCCGCGGAGCUCGCCGCCGGCGUGUCUCCGGUGACCAAAUGGUCACGGGCGUUGGCCCGCUAGCCCGACCGCACCGAGCCGCACCCGCCUAGGUAGUUAGUUCGGCCGUUCGCGCGCUCUAGCGUAGCUUUCGUCGGGCACCCGUAGCACCUCGCCGCCGGCGAGUUCAUAGCGCUUGUCUCCGGCCGUUCCAGCCCCUCCGACCACCGCCGUUGGACGCGCGACGUCGAGCCGCGUCGAACGCGCCAAGCCCCGCCCCCGCAAACCCACUGUGGGCGAAACCCGAAGCACACCCGCGCAUCGCCGCCGCGUUGGAGCUCGCCGGAGCCCCUCUUCGGUGCCCUGCCGACGUGGCCGGCCGGGCCCCCCCCGGCUCACCGCCAGUGGCCCCCACGGGCCCCAGUUGACUGGGUUGACCCAGUCAACUGCUGACUGGGCAGGCCCAGUCACUGACAUGCGGGCCCCGCCGCAAAAAUUAAAAAAGAAAAUGUUUUAUAAAUAAAAAUAAUUAGUUUAAUUAAUCUCUCACUGACAGGUGGGCCCAGUAGUUAAUUAACUAAAAACUAAUUAGUUUAAUCCUCUGUUAACCCACUGUCUAUGACAGGUGGGUCCCCCUUGUCAGUUUGACCAGUCAACCCGGACUGUUGACCGCUGACGUCACUCAUACGUCAUGCUGACGUCAUAUCCCUUUUUCUGUUAAUUAAAUAAUUCCAGAAAUUCAAAUAAACUUUGAAAAUUCAUAUCUUUUAAACCGUAACUCGGAUGAAAAUGUUUUCUAUAUGAAAGUUGCUCAGCACGACGAGACGAAUCCGAAUACGCAGUCCGUUCGUCCACCACACCUCCCUAACCUAUCGAACUCGCAACUUUCCCCCUCCGGUCCUUCUGUCCGAAAACGUGAAACAUCGGGAAUACCUCCCGGAUGUUCCCCCCCUUCACCGGUACCACCUACUGUCGCGUUAGGACACCCCUAGCACCGCUCACUGUCAUGUCACGCAUCGUCAUGCUUAUGUUUGCAUUGUAUUUACUGUUUCUUCCCCCUCUUCUCUCCGGUAGACUACGAGACCGACACUGCUGCUGCCCAGUUCGACUACGGAGUCGACGACCCCUCCUACUUGCCAGAGCAACCAGGCAAGCCCCCCCCCCUUGAUCACCAGAUAUCGCCUACUCUCCUCUAUACUGCUUGCAUUAGAGUAGUAUAGCAUGUUACUGCUUUCCGAUAUCCUAUCCUGAUGCAUAGCCUAUCCUUGCUACUACUGUUGUUACCUUGCCUGCAAUCCUACAUGCUUAGUAUAGGAUGCUAGAUUUCCAUCAGUGGCCCUACAUUCUUGUCCGUCUGCUGUGCUACACUAUCGGGCCGUGAUCACCUGGGCGGUGAUCGCGGGUAUAUACUUAUAUACUAUAUACAUGACACAUGUGAUGACUAAAGUCGGGUCGGCUCGUAGGAGUACCCGCAAGUGGAUCUUUGUGGCGGAGCGACAGGGCAGGUUGAGACCGCCUAGGUAAGAGGUGGGCCUGGCCCUGGUCGGCGUUCGCGAAUACUUAACACGCUUAACGAGAUCUUGGUAUUUGAUCUGAGUCUGGCCAUUUGGUCUAUACGCACUAGCCAUCUACGCGGGAGUAGUUAUGGGUAUCCCGGCGUCGUGGUAUCAGCCGAAGCCUUCGUGACGUCAGCGACUGAGUGGCGCGCGCCGUGUUGGACCGCUUUGACGUAACCGCCGUGAUCGUGUGGGUUGCUAGGUCUGCUCGCGGCCGCGUUCGCAACGUGCAGGUGUGCAUAGGGCGAUGGGCCCAGACCCCUGCGCGCUUAGGAUUAGACCGGCGUGCUGACCGCUCUGUUGUGCUUAGGUGGGGCUGCGACGCGUUGAUCUUACGAGGCCGGGCAUGACCCAGAAAAGUGUGUCCGGCCAAUUGGGAUCGAGCGUGUUGGGUUAUGUGGUGCACCCCUGAAGGGAAGUUUAUCUAUUCGAAUAGCCGUGUCCCUCGGUAAAAGGACGACCCGGAGUUGUACCUUGAGCUUAUGACAACUAGAACUGGAUACUGAAUAAAAUACACCCUUCCAAGUGCCAGAUACAACCCGGUGAUCGCUCUCUAACAGGGCGACGAGGAGGGGAUUGCUGGGUAGGAUUAUGCUAUGCGAUGCUACUUGGAGGACUUCACUCUAUUCUCUUCUAUAUGCUGCAAGAUGGAGAUGACCAGAAGCGUAGUCUUCGACAGGACUAGCUAUCCCCCUUUUAAUUCUGGCAUUCUGCAGUUCAGUCCACUGAUAUGCCUCUUUACACAUAUACCCAUGCAUAUGUAGUGUAGCUCCUUGCUUGCGAGUACUUUGGAUGAGUACUCACGGUUGCUUCUCUCCCUCUUUUUCCCCCUUUCCUUUCUAUCUGGUUGCCGCAACCAGAUGUUGGAGUCCAGGAGCCAGACGCCACCGUCGACGACGACUCCCACGGCACUGGAGGUGCCUACUACUACGUGCAGGCCGCUGACGACGACCAGGAGUAGUUAGGAGGUCCCAGGCAGGAGGCCUUGCCUUUUCGGUCGUUGCUACUUUUGUGCUAGCCUUCUUAAGGCAAACUUGUUUAACUUAUGUCUGUACUCAGAUAUUAUUGCUUCCGCUGACUCGUCUGUGAUCGAGCACUUGUAUUCGAGCCCUCGAGGCCCCUGGCUUGUAUUAUGAUGCUUGUAUGACUUAUUUAUGUUUUAGAGUUGUGUUGUGAUAUCUUCCCGUGAGUCCCUGAUCUUGGUCGUACACAUUUGCGUGCAUGAUUAGUGUACGGUCAAAUCGGGGGCGUCACACCAUCAUUGUUAGUAAGUUGCCUUUCUAUGAAACUAAGUUGUUUACCAUACCAAAAAGUAUUGCAACUAAGGAUGGUAUUAAGCUACUCGCUUGUCAUGGCAAGCAGUUUAGGAUAAUGUUAGCCUACCCCAGAAACUAAGUUGUCUACAAUACUAUCAAAUUGGAGGCGAAGCUAAUUAUGGUAGAAAACUUAGAAGUGAAGCUAGUUAACUAGAUAGUCAUGGUAGCUAACUUCAAAGAGAUUUUCAAUCAUAGAAAGUCAUACUAAAAAAACUAACAAGAAGUUGCUUUCCUAUAGCACUAAAGUUGCCUCCGUAGCAUCCAAAGUUGCUUAAAAAAAAGUUAGUCGAAACAUACUCAUAUGGGAUCUAGUUUUGAAGAUCUCGUCACGAUUAACCUAAGGGUGAAAACAAAACUUAAUUUCGAUGCUUGGUCUAAAAGUUAUAGCUUUUCAAAAUUUUGAAAACGCUAAUUAAAUGCAUGGAGAUCUAAGUUCCAACUGAAUCCCCACCUCAUGCACUGUCCCCACGUGGGCCGCUCCCUUUCGCUUGUCGUGAUAUGGGUUAUUAUUGUUCUGGUCGGACGAUUCCGCACGCGUUGGUGGCGAUCGGGCGUAUCGGACGGCUCUCGCGUGUGCGCUCGAGACAACCAUCCGGCGCAGCUGCGCGAUUCAGAAUUCAGGGAAAUUAAAACAUAUACUCCCUCUGUAAACUAAAUGUAAGAGCGUUUAGAUCACUAUAUAGUGAUCUAAACGCUCUUAUAUUAGUUUACAGAGGGAGUACUUAUCAAAAAACAUUAAAACAUAUAAUUCUUUCUUAUUAUAAGAAAAUUACGUGUUAAUUUGACCAGCUGACUGUACAGAGAGUAGUUCAAGGUCAAGGAGGGGUGCCUGUACUGUGUCAGUAGGCAGUACCUUUCGUCGGAUCGUAAGUAUGGCAGCUUGCUCAGCCCUCUCUGCGGCGACCCUUCCCUCGGCCGCGGCGCCGGUCAGCAGACGGCGAGCGACAGCGUCGCCGCGGCUUCCCGACAAGCGCGUCUCCGGCGCUGUGCGGUGUAGGGCUGCUCCAGGCGGACUCGGUAUCUCGGGGAAGGGUGAGUUCUCUGUUUUCGAGUUUUAGCGAGGAUCCGAUCCUCGUUUCGGACUUCCUUCGUAGCCUGAUGUGUUUUUCCCCUCCGAUUGGCGGGUGGCAGUGGCCGAGCUGUGGCAGGCAGCGAGGAGUGCGCCUCCGGGGACCGUGCUCGCCGCCGUGGCUGCCGCGGCGGCGGUCUACAAGGUGGCGUCCGGCCUCCUCGCCCCGCCGCCUCCGCCGCCACGACGAUGGCAGGAGGUGGCUGAUGAGGCGCUGCCACCAGCUCCGGAGCCUGUGCAGGUGGGGGAGAUCACGGCGGAUGAGCUGCGGCAGUACGACGGGUCUGACCCCGAGAAGCCUCUUCUCAUGGCCAUCAAGGGGCAGAUCUACGACGUCUCCCAGAGCAGGUCGAUUUCCUUAGCCCCAUCUCAUAUACACCUCCAAUUCGGCUCUGUUCCUUUGAAUUCAGACUAUCAGCUGUGGCCACCAAAUCAAUUACUCCUUCAGAACUCGGUUGUGAACUUGUGAUCACUGAUCAGUGGUAUCACUUGUUACUAGUACAAACGAAGUUCUCUAGAAAUUACUCUCUGAAGUGAAAACAUUCUUCUUGGUCUCGAAGAGCUGAUAGCCUAAACCUGGAAGCAAAUGAUUUGUUCUUCUAUGCUAGGUCUAGUAGUAUUCUAAAUAAGAAUCGUAGGAAAUUGUGCGAAAUAAUUCGAAGGCAGUAUUUUGAUGAGUCAUAGGCAGUUGUGCAAUAAGAGAACUAAUGAACACAUUGACCUGAGUUGAUAUUUUGUUCUGGACUAUGGGAACUGCAGUGACUUUCUUUGGCAAACCUAAGUGUCUAGCAAAGAAAGGUGUAAAUGAUUUCGGUGUUAGUAGCUAUUAGACCAGUUGUUCAUGAGAUAUUUGACGGACAUUCAGAUAUGCAUAUAAAAUGUACAUGCUGCAAAUAGACUACUGGAGCUUCUCAAUUCUGAUGCCUAGCAUAGAGCAUUUCUGCUGUUGGUAUGUUUGGAGCCGAUGUGGGUUCAAUUGUUCAAUGCUAAUCUACAUGGUGUAUUUAGAGGUUGUAUGUUCAAGUUCACUUAUUCAUCACUAUUCCAUAUAUAUAUUAUUAUCUUUAUACGUACCUGCAAAAUGCGAUCACAAGUUAACAAAGUUUAAUAGUACUAUCAUAUGAGUUGAUGGCUUGAGGCUCGUGAGAACGAUGAUAAACUGAUACUAUCAAACAGGGAAUUGCACACCUGAUUACCUGGACUAUAUUUUUGCAGUGCAUCAGCAAGGUUAGAACUUCAUUAUAUAGUGUAUAAACCUUGGUGAUUUGUUCUUUAUGGACUGUAAAUUUUGGAAACUCCCUCCAAUUCAAAUCGCAUGAAAACAUCAUUUGUUUUUCUCUUCUGGUGUACAGUAAGAUAACGCAUAUCCCUUGUCCAAGACAUUAGUCUUAAUUCUCUCAAUCCAAAGUUUUUAACUCAACCUUUUGCCAUCAAAGAUGAAAUUACUAAUUUGCUAUAUGUACUACAUCACUUUUGGCUGUUGCUGAUUUGAUUUGUGCUUUGCAGAAUGUUUUAUGGGCCUGGUGGACCAUAUGCAUUGUUUGCUGGUAAAGAUGCCAGUAGGGCAUUGGCAAAGAUGUCCUUUGAGCCACAAGAUCUGACAGGUGAUGUAUCUGGCCUUGGUCCAUUUGAGCUUAGUGCCUUGCAGGACUGGGAGUACAAGUUCACCAGCAAGUAUGUGAAAGUAGGAACCGUCAAAGGAACAGGGCCCAUAGAACAGGGUAAUGUUAGCACUACCUCUGAAAUACAGGAGGAAGCUGCUGCGGUGAAACUGAAUGGAGAGAAAGCACCAUGAGGCACUACUGUACAUAAUUGACCCUGAAUUUCGACGAGAUAUACUGUAUAGCUUUGGAUCCAAAGAGAGCCAGAAACUGGAUGCCUCCUAGCUGCUACAGUGAUGUUACCUACAUGCUAUCUGGAGUGUAAUUCACAGAUAUACUGUAUAGCUUUGUCCGACUAGAAGCUGAAGUGUAAUGUUAAGUAUCGAAUGACUGAAUUAGAGAAUUAGUAGAGUAUGAUGCCUCGUUGUUGCACUCCACAAGAUAAUGCUGUUGAUUUUCCUUUGUCAAGAACAUGCUUCCAUGUUAUUAGUUGGAUCCCUUAAUAGUCAAUGCUCAAUCAAAACAAGUAUAUAUCCCACUUGGUUUAUACCUCAUGGUGGGCAAAAGCUAUGUCAUUUAUUAAACAAAAGUCAGAGAAAAUUCUAAGUAAAUUAGCUGUUCACCUAACCUAACUGACAUGAAAAGAAAAACAGCUCAAUGAUAACGUACAUGUUCUGUUACAUUACCACCUAGAUAUGAAAUCUAGAAGCUCAGGUAUUCGAUGCACUUCGAUGAGCAUCCAGGCUACAUCGAUGAGUACUCAACGAAGAAUCAGCCAGGAGCUGUUUUCUGUUAUGCUAUCUGUCAAGUGCCGUAUUUCAGUUAGACAACGCGUGGCCAACUAACCUAAAGGAACUUUUUGUUAAUCCCAGCCUCAAGGCUUAUGUCACGAACGAGUUCAUGUACUAGUCAACUGCGUUUAGCGCAGCUUGUUCCGUUGCAUAGGAAGUUGAUGCCAGCUUGUCUUUUGCCUUUUCUCAUGGCCUUCUUUGCUGAGAUGAGGCAUGACAAAACUGACACACAAGAGCAUAUUCUUUUUGGGGUUCAGUUUAUGAUACCUCCAAGCGAUAACCCUUUUGUUCUUGAGAGAACAUGAAGACAAACUAUAAAUUGUCAGUUUGGGAUGCAUGGAUUGUACCGGGAUUUUGCAUGAUUUAACAUUAAGGCAGUAAAUUUGGAGAAACGUUGAGGCUUUUUUGUUUGAAGUGGUAAAUGACAAGCUAACACCAACGCUGUACUAUGGAAAAGAUGUCUGAACCAGUGGAAGUCAACGGAACAGUUCUUUUCUUUGAAAGAUCCAGCAAUUGCUGGCGUUUCAUUAAUCAUAGCAGAAAGCAACGGAAAACAAUAAAGGUGGUGAGGAUCCUAGGAUCAAAGUUUUAGGGUUUAGGGAGUGCCACACACGGCCAAAAACCCUAGGAACAAGAGUGGGUUUAUCUCUGGGGGGGGGUUCCCGAAGGGGCUCUCUAAGCAUGCGGCGCCUGUGGUUCUCCAUAGCUCGAAGCUGUCUCGUAUGCGCUUGAUGAUUCCCGCCACGCACGACAGUUGCUGCCUGAAGGUGCUGUUGUUUCUCUCCUGCCAAAUCUCCCAGCAAGCAAGCCAGCACAGCGUCCGCACUCCCUUUCGCCUUGGUGCGGGGUCUGCUCUAGGAUGCCUUGCACGAUUGCGGUGGAGCUGUCAUGACGCCAGCUCUCGGCCGGGGUGAGAGCCGAGCAGCCGUGCCACAGUCCCAGCUCGGCCCACACACAUCCGGUUUCCUGGCAGCUCCAAAAGAGGUGGCGCGACGACUCCAGGUUUCUGACGCAGAGCUGGCAGAAGUAAGCGUUUGUCCAGCCUCGCCGUUCGAGUCUGUCAUUGCACCAGAGUCGAUCCUGAAGAAGCAACCAGGCAAAGAUUUUGAUUUUGCCCGGCGCCCAGGCCUUCCAAACCAGCCGGUCGAAGUGGGUCGCCGUUCUCCCCUAGAACUGCGCCAGGUAGGCCGACCUCGCUGUGUACUUUCCUGAGCUCGCUCUACUCCACGUCAGAUCAUCCGGCACUCCUGGCUGCAGCUGCACGUCCGCCCCCUGGAGCAGACGAUGAAGGGCGAGGACGUCCGGCAGGAGAUGGCGGUUGUUGCCGUGGGCGAGGUCGCGGAUCCACGUGUCGUCGCUGAGGGCCUCCCGUACCGAUCUGUUCUUGCGCCGCGAGUAGCUAAACAGCCUUGGGAACUGUUGCGAGAGGCAGCCCUGGCCGAUCCAUGGAGAGAGCCAGAAAGAGGCCCGAGCCCCGUCGCCGAUCGCAACUCUGGUGGAGGCCACGAAGAGCGCCUUGUCCGCACCGUCGCAAGGCAGCUCGGUGCCCACCCAAGGCCGCUCCGGGUGGUGCCAGGCAGCCCAGAGCCAGCGCAGCCGCAGCGCUCUGCCAAAACGCUGCAGGUCGGGGAUGCCCAGGCCACCUUGCUCCGUCGGGGCGCAGACCGCUGGCCAGUUGACCUUGCAGCUGGCGCCUGCAACCUCGUCGUCCUGGCACCAGAGGAAACGACGUCUACACUUGUCGAUCUCUUUGAGAAUUUUCUGUGGGACACGGAGGACGGUGAGGGCGAAGGUUGGCAUGGCACUCAUCACACAUCGGACGAGGACGCGGCGGCCGGCCAUCGGUAGCAGCUAGCCCUUCCAGCCCGCAAGCCUAGCCUUGAUCCUGUCGAUGAUGAACUGGAGGUGAACCAAGCGCAGGCGUCCCGUAGAGACCGGCAACCCAAGGUAUUUGAUGGGGAAGGGGGCGAUGGAGCCUGCAAAACCCUGUAGCACCUCCUCGACGUUGAUGUUCUCGCAACGGAUCAGCGAGACCGUGGAUUUGGCCGGGUUAAUACAGAGCCCCGUUGCCUCGCCGAAAUCGCUAAGGAUGUGCAGCAGAGAGUCUACCUCUUCUCGUCUAGGGUUUAUGAAGAUAACUACGUCGUCUGCGUAGAGGCUUACACGAAGCGCCAGUCGCGACCUGGGAGGCGAUGUAACAGCUGCUGGUCUACCGCCGCCGUGAUGAGGUGGUGCAGUGGGUCGAUGGCCAAAAUGAAGAGGAAUGGGGAGAGCGGGUCUCCCUGGCGCAACCCACGGUGAUGGAGGAUGCUUGGGCCGACAGAACCGUUGAGAGAGACCGCCGAAGAAGCCGAGACGAGCAGCCUAGCCAUCCAGUGUGACGCCCCCGAUUCGACCGUACACUAAUCAUGCACGCAAAUGUGUACGAUCAAGAUCAGGGACUCACGGAAAGAUAUCACAACACAACUCUACAACAUAAAUAAGUCAUACAAGCAUCAUAAUACAAGCCAAGGGCCUCGAGGGCUCGAAUACAAGUGCUCGAUCAUAGACGAGUCAGCGGAAGCAACAAUAUUUGAGUACAGACAUAAGUUAAACAAGAUUGCCUUAAGAAGGCUAGCACAAAAGUAGCAACGAUCGAAAAGGCAAGGCCUCCUGCCUGGGACCUCCUAACUACUCCUCGAAGCCGAACUCCAUGUAGAAUCAUCCUCGGGAUCUCUAGCUCCUGGACUCCAGCAUCUGGUUGCGACAAUCCGGUAUAGAAAAGGGAAAAGAGGGAGAAAAGCAACUGUGAGUACUCAUCCAAAGUACUCGCAAGCAAGGAGCUACACUACAUAUGCAUGGGUAUAUGUGUAAAGGACCAUAUCAGUGGACUGAACUGCAGAAUGCCAAAAUAAGAGGGGGAUAGCUAAUCCUGUCGAAGACUACACUUCUGGCAGCCUCCAUCUUGCAGCAUGUAGAAGAGAGUAGAUUGAAGUCCUCCAAGUAGCAUCACAUAGCAUAAUCCUACCCGGCGAUCCCCUCCUCGUCGCCCUGUUAGAGAGCGAUCACCGGGUUAUAUCUGGCACUUGGAAGGGUGUGUUUUAUUAAGUAUCCAGUUCUAGUUGUCAUAAGGUCAAGGUACAACUCCGGGUCGUCCUUUUACCGAGGGACACAGCUAUUCGAAUAGAUAAACUUCCCUGCAGGGGUGCACCACAUAACCCAACACGCUCGAUCCCAUUUGGCCGGACACACUUUUCUGGGUCAUGCCCGGCCUCGUAAGAUCAACACGUCGCAGCCCCACCUAAGCACAACAGAGAGGUCAGCACGCCGGUCUAACUCCUAUGCGCGCAGGGGUCUGGGCCCAUCGCCCAUUGCACACCUGCACGUUGCGUACGCGGCCGGAAGCAGACCUAGCCUAGUGGCGUUCCAGUCCAAUCCGGCGCGCGCCACUCAGUCGCUGACGUCACGAAGGCUUCGGCUGAUACCACGACGCCGGGAUACCCAUAACUACUCCCACGUAGAUGGUUAGCGCGUAUAGACCAAAUGGCCAGACUCAGAUCAAAUACCAAGAACUCGUUAAGCGUGUUAUGUCGAAGUAACCGCGGACGCCGUCCAGGGCCAGGCCCACCUCUCACCUAGGUGGUCUCAACCUGCCCUGUCGCUCUGCCACAAAGAUCCACUUGCGGGUACUCCUAUGAGCCGACCCGACUUUAGUCACCACUUGUGUCAUGUAUAUAGUAUAUAAGUAUAUACCCGUGAUCAUCGCCCAAGUGUUCACGGCCCGAUAGUAUAGCACAGCAGACGGACAAGAAUGUAGGGCCACUGAUGGAAAACUAGCACCCUAUACUAAGCAAUAGGAUAGCAGGUAAGGGAAACAACUGUAGCAACAAUGACAGGCUAUGCAACAGAAUAGGAUUAACCGAAAGCAGUAACAUGCUACACUACUCUAAUGCAAGCAGUAGAGAGUAGAGUAGGCGAUAUCUGGUGAUCAAGGGGGGGGGGCUUGCCUGGUUGCUCAGACAAGAAGGAGGGGUCGUCUUCGAUGUAGCCGAACACACGAACAGCGGCAGCGGUCUCGGAGUCUACCGGAAAGAAGUAACGGAGGGGGAACACAAUAAAUAACAGAGCAAUCAAAUGUAACACAAAGCAAGACGCGGCGAUACGUUGUGCUAGGGGUGACCUAACGUAGGGAUAGGUGAUACUGGCGAAGGGGUGAAACAUUCGGGAAAGUAUCCCUGGUGUUUUGCGUUUUCGAACAAAUGAACCGGAGGGGGAAAGUUGCGGGUUUGCUAUGCUAGGGAUGUGUGGCAGACGGGCAGACUGCGUAUUCGGAUUCGUCUCAUCGUUCUGAGCAACUUUCAUGUACAAAGUAUUUUAAUCCGAGCUACGGUUUAUUUUAUAUUAAUUUUUCAAAGUUUUAAUUGAUUUUCUAAUACUAUGAUUAUUACUAUGAAAAUAAUCAGCAAAUGCUACGAGUACACAGAAGUGCACCCACUACUAUGCACAUGCGGCUGACAGAUGGGCCAGAGGGCCUAGUUGACCAAGUCAACAUAGACUAGUCAACCAGUGAAUAGUAGAAGUGGGUGCGCAUGUCAUUGACUCUAACUUUAGUAGUUUAGAAAAUCUUGCUUAAUUAACAGCGGGGCCCAUAUGUCAUUGAGUUAUAUUAUGCUAAUUACCUAAUUAACUAAUUAAGUAAUUAAUUAGCAUACUAAUUAUUUUAUUUAACAUUUAAAUUCGUUCAUUUGUUUUUUUGUCCUUAACAGCCCCUGGUGGUCAGGGGCACAACCGGCCAAACACACGCUCACGCACACACGACCGUGGGCGAGGCCGUGGCCGGAGCGUGGUUGGCAGGUGACCGGCGGCCAGCGAGCGCUGGGCAGGGCGAAUACGGGCGUGGCGCGAGCGGGGAAGGGACGCGGCGGCGCCGGCGGAGUGCACAGGGGCGCGGCGACGUACGACGGCCAGACACAGCAGCAGCCCUGCGCACGGGCGAGCAUCGGCAGGGGAGGUGCGAAACGGCGGGCGGGGCAGGGGACAGGGGUGGCCGGCGUGCUGAGCGCGGCGGCAGUAAUCGCGGGCGAGGCCGUAGGGAGCGAGGCGCGCGGGCUGCGAGGUUGGCGAUGGCCGAGCACGACGGUGGAUGUGCGGGACGGCGGGGAAAGGGAAGCAGGGGGAAUGGGGUUCUCACCCCCGUUGCAGGGGAGUUUGGCGGCAAGGCGCGAUGGCGCCGACGGGGAGGAGGACGAGGCGGACGGCGGUGAGGUCCGGGGUCGGCCGGCGAUGGAGAGGCGGGGCGGGGCAGUCCAGCGAGCGACGAGGUGGGGCGUCNNNNNNNNNNNNNNNNNNNNNNNNNNNNNNNNNNNNNNNNNNNNNNNNNNNNNNNNNNNNNNNNNNNNNNNNNNNNNNNNNNNNNNNNNNNNNNNNNNNNNNNNNNNNNNNNNNNNNNNNNNNNNNNNNNNNNNNNNNNNNNNNNNNNNNNNNNNNNNNNNNNNNNNNNNNNNNNNNNNNNNNNNNNNNNNNNNNNNNNNNNNNNNNNNNNNNNNNNNNNNNNNNNNNNNNNNNNNNNNNNNNNNNNNNNNNNNNNNNNNNNNNNNNNNNNNNNNNNNNNNNNNNNNNNNNNNNNNNNNNNNNNNNNNNNNNNNNNNNNNNNNNNNNNNNNNNNNNNNNNNNNNNNNNNNNNNNNNNNNNNNNNNNNNNNNNNNNNNNNNNNNNNNNNNNNNNNNNNNNNNNNNNNNNNNNNNNNNNNNNNNNNNNNNNNNNNNNNNNNNNNNNNNNNNNNNNNNNNNNNNNNNNNNNNNNNNNNNNNNNNNNNNNNNNNNNNNNNNNNNNNNNNNNNNNNNNNNNNNNNNNNNNNNNNNNNNNNNNNNNNNNNNNNNNNNNNNNNNNNNNNNNNNNNNNNNNNNNNNNNNNNNNNNNNNNNNNNNNNNNNNNNNNNNNNNNNNNNNNNNNNNNNNNNNNNNNNNAUCGGCGAUGACGACGGGAUCGGGGGCGGCGCGUCCAGAUCGGGGAGAGGGGGGGCGCCAAGGAAAGUGGGGGGGGAUCGGGUGCGUGGGGUAGGUUAGGGUUUGGGGGAGGGAGUGGAUAAGGGGGAGUGGGGGGAGGUGCGCGGCAGGGUGGGCCGGCCUGGCGGCUCGGUGGGUUGCGGCCUGGUGGGCCAAAGCCCAAUUGGCCGGGGGUUUUCUUUUCAUUUUUUGUGUGUUUCUUUUCUGUUUUAUUUUAGUUACAUUUUAUUUUAGUUUUGUAAAAUGCCAAAUGAGCACCUAAAUUAGUAUUACUAAUUAGUCCACUGCCACAAUUAACUUGGCACCUAAAAUAAAAUAUUUUGUAAUUGUUGAGUAUUUAAAGUAUUUAAAUAAUAGUUUUGCUACUGUUUUAUUACCAUUUGAAUAUUUGAACAUUUUAUAAAAGUGUGGUUCUCCACCAUAAUUAUCUACGCAUUAUUUGGCACAACCCGAACAUUUUAGUUUUAAAGUUUGAAAACUUUUGUUGUUUGCCUUUUAUUCAAUUUUGAAUUUGAAUUGUUUUUUGAACUAACGCGGGAUUAACUACAGUGUCAGAGGUGACGUGGCAUCAAUAGCAGGGAAUUACUGUAGUCUAAUUCUCCGGGCGUCACAAUUCUCCUCCACUACAAGAAAUCUCGUCCCGAGAUUUAAGAGGGGAAGUGACGGGAAAGGGAUUUGGUCACGAAAUUCUAACGAGUGUUCUCGAUCUUGGUUGCUCUUCUCGAAGCGGUUGAUCCAUUACGUUGAUGUCUUCAUUUUCCUGCUUCAGGUCAUCAUGAUGAAGCUGGCAUCCUUCCUUCAGGAACUCCAUCGUACUUACGAAGGACAAGGGGUAACUUCGGAAUAAUAGGCCUCUGAACGGUUGACUAUCUGGUUGAUAACAUCGGGGAAGGUGGAGGAAAGUAACUCUCGAAUGGAAAUUUAAGACAAUAUCGAGAGCAAAGUAAGGAGGUAUCGUGGGGAAGUUUUGAGCGGGCAGGCAAUCGUUUGAUGCCUGAAGGGUUCUGAGCACCGGGAAUAAGUAUUGUGUCUGAUACCAAAAUUGAGCACUAGGAAGGUGACCCGUGAAUUACUUACGAAGUCAAGCAAAAUGAAAAGCUUUGGCAACAGGGGUGUACAGGAGAGUCAGGUUUCGAUCCUGUGGAACUGUGGGUUAUGGGCCCACCAUGUGGGUUAAAAGUAGAAAGGCCGUUGGCAUCUUACACAGUCAUGAUAGCAAGACAUGUCAGAGGGUAGCCUAUCAGUUAUGUUGGCAACAACGUUGGUACCAAGGGCGAGGGACAAAGAGAACCAUUUUCCUGCUCGUUGAACGAGGCGGACCAAUAGGCAAGGUUCUCAUCCAUCGGUGGUUACCGGAAUGUCAUCAACAAAAGCAACAUGGUCUUACUGUCAGAGUUGUACACCGAAGUGUUUACAUAAGCGGGAGAAUAUUACUGCUUAGACCAUAUAGAUCACCAGAAAGGUUAACCCAAACAAUGGAAAUGAAAAUAUGAUUAUCAGAUUAAACAGAAGAAUGGAAAGGAAAAUGUGUUUAAACACAUAUUUCAAGGGUAUAUCCUUCCCAAGGACAACCAGAGCAUGAUAUCCAUGACAUGAUAUAAUGUAGAAAACUCUUUAGGUACGGGAAAGAAAAUUUCAUGACAUUACCCAUACAACGGUGUUUGGAUAAUUGAGCAGGAAACAUUUAGCAUUGGGCUUCAAAUGUUCCUGUUGAAAAUCGGAGUACCAUAGACAUGCUUCGAGAUAGCAUUGACAUGGUCAACAGGUGAAGAUCAGACUUUGGAAACAAAAAGGAUCCAUCAGAAACAACUUAUAGAAUAAGUCUUACAAUUUCCUCAUGGAAGAAUGGAUAACCUUGCUGAAAAGGAAUCUGUAACAAUAGGGCCUCCGGCCAGGUGCGCUAUGCAUGACAUAACCUUACCGGGUCAUAUAAAGACCAACAUUAUAACUCUUGGAAUUAUGUUCCAACCAUCAUAUCUGACCGAGGUUCAGAUCUCAUUGGUGUCAGGAUACCUCAGACUCAGGAUGUCUGAGAAGAAAGGUGCAACACAAAUUGAUGGGAUGACAUUGUAAGAUUCUCGGGAAAUGAACUAUGAAAGCAAGUUCCGAAACAAGGGUUCAUCAUUAAACCAAGGGGAGGAUGAGGGGGUGGCUGAUGGACUCAGCGACAAUUCCUCGAGAUUUCCAAAAAGAGGGAUUUCCACACUUAUGUGAACAAGGAGAUAACAUUUGUUAGAUCAAAUGAUAUAGUGAGGUAUGCUCGAGGAAAACAUACUCAAUUAAACAUUGGUUGAAAGGUGCACCCGAAAUAUGGGCUUAGGUAGAAUGAUCAAUGUUAGAACGGUGAUUCGAUAACCAAUGGUCUAAGAAUGAAAUAUCGACCAUUAACUUCAAAGCAAUAGGGUUGCUAGAAGUUUUGAAGUCGCACAUCAUAGUUCAAUUGUCGGUUUUAUGGUUAGGAACAACACGGGGAUCAGAAAACAAAUGGAGAUGGCGAGAAGUAUUACUAUAUCAAGAAUUCUCAAGAGGUGGAGAAAUUCUCACAAUAUCCUUGACAUAAAAGAUGGUAAUACUCCAAGGUAGAACAUAACAUAAGCUGGUUAGCAAGGAGCUCCAUAAGAUGAUCAAGUUUGUGAUGAAAGGAAUGUAAGGAUGUUGUCGAUGGUAACUCAAAUUACCAAGGAACGAGGAUGGCACUUAUCAUCAAGAAUUCCAUUGAUAUCCUGGAAGGAGUCAAAAUGUUGAUGAGAAUCACGACAUUUUGUUGUCAAGGGGAUCCAUGAAGAAGCAAUUGAUCAGUGACUGCAUCAAGCAAAAGGACUGAUGCAACAAAAUAUUAUUGGAGCCACAGAUACUACACAAACUCGGGGUCAAGUUUGUUGUUCGAGGUGAAACGAUAUGACGAGGAAAAUCGACGUAAGCUUAGCUCAUCGUCGAAAGUGGUGCUCCGGGAAUAAGGACCAGGUAGCACAGUUAAAAUCAUCAAGAUAAUGAUAUAGCCAAACAUGCUAGGAAUGGCGUGAUCGGGUAGAAACUCGUACUUAAAGAAGAUUACUAAGAGUUGUUGAACCGUAGUGCGGACUCGGUUCAGUUAUCGGUGUCUUUGCGUGAUUAAUAACUCAGAGCCCAUGAAAAAUUGGAAUCAGUGAGAAUGUAGCACUUGCUGAAGAACUCGUAAGAAGUUAUGCAGUUCCAUGAUAAUCUCGAGAUACCAGGGGGUAAUACUCGACGACAGAUCAAGGUAGAGGUUGGACUAGGGUAUUGCUUUGCAGAAGACAAGUGCUCAAACUUGCACGAGAAACAGAAUCAAGGAGAAACAUGGUCGGAACCACGAUUGCAAAAGGCCAGAUCCCAGAUAUAAGAUGAACUUAUACCAAGGGAAUAAUUAAUUUAAGAAAAGCUUUAAUGAUAAGAUCUACAUCGUGUCCAUGGGCAUGAACGCAAAGUUCAAGGUCGACUCCCACUUCUUCAAUGCAUAACCUUUCAUUCACUUCUCGCGUUUGAUGAAGUCGCAGUGUUGAAAAUUUUUAUCUGGCAAAAUACCAGAAGAGUAUGACUCAUGAAAACUUUCGAGUUCACACAUAUUAUGAAAGGCAUAGGUUCAACCCAUCAAGGCAACUUAGGAACAUAUACCACAAACUUCGGAGUAAAUAUUACAAGCUCGAAAGAAGAGCAUUGCUCAAAAACAGAUGAUACAAUUUACCAAAGGCAUUAUAUACCCAUGGAAAGGCUCACAAGGUUAUUCAAUAUGAAGGACACUGUCGGAUAAAAUCCAACAAAGGAACCGAUGGUCCACAAGGGAUCUGAUGUGAGCAUCGGUACUCAACCAGAGGAAGAAGAAUGCAAGGAGGUCUGAUUAUAGAAACAACUGACUAACUCAAAGUUCAAAUGCAAAAGAAUUAUGAUUUCCAAAUCAGGGGGUCAGAAGAAACGCUCUGAUCAAGGAUGGAUAAGUUGAGUAGGCUUAGGGGUACAAUCGAUGGCAAUUUGAUAGGUCGAGAUCCAGCUCACAUUUAAAAUGACGUCUGAGCCGAAAGAAUGAAUUCUAGGAUAUGAUUGAGGAUUGCGAGCAUUCGCAACAAAUUGAAUCAACGGACUCAAAAUGAUAAUGACAAGAGAUGCCAAUAAGAUUACGAGACUUAUGGGAUUAACCAUAAUGCAAGCAAACAAGAAUUUCAAGAGCAAUAGGCUCCUGAGGAUUUUCGGAAGAUCGAAUAGUAUUUUGAAGACUAUUGUGGAAUACUUGAAUCAACUGGGGAUGAGUCGAUACUCGGUAGGUGUGAGUAAUUAUCCGUAUGGGUAUUUCUGCGGCAAGGAACUACAAGGCAGUGGUACAAGGGAUUCUUAAAAGCCGGAGAGUAAUUCGAUGUAUCUGGUAAUAACAAGAGAAACUCAGAGUAAUUGUACGAACAACAAGUGUAUGUUGUUAUCCAUAUGGAUAUAUCGAUAGUAGGGAAUUGAAAAGGCAGAGGGCACAAGGGUCUCGGGAAUGAUCGAAGAGUAUCUUCAACAUCUUCUGGUGCAGUAGGCGACCAUCUGUGAUAAAGGGCUCUCCGGGAGAAAGUAUUUACGAGAACCUACAGUUAGUCCUUUUAGCAAAAUCAUUUAACCCGAAUAGGAAAGAGUUCAGAGUCCCAGAGUAUAGACAAGGAGUAAAAGAUCCUAAUACCACCCAAUGGCGACAUGGGCCCGUAAGACACACAGCCAUGUUAGUAAAAGUUUUGUAAUGUCUAGACUCGACUUCGGCCAAGGAGUGUGGAAAGGGGGAUUCCUACAGGCAGCUGGCUCUGAUACCAACUUGUGACGCCCCCGAUUCGACCGUACACUAAUCAUGCACGCAAAUGUGUACGAUCAAGAUCAGGGACUCACGGGAAGAUAUCACAACACAACUCUACAACAUAAAUAAGUCAUACAAGCAUCAUAAUACAAGCCAGGGGCCUCGAGGGCUCGAAUACAAGUGCUCGAUCAUAGACGAGUCAGCGGAAGCAACAAUAUUUGAGUACAGACAUAAGUUAAACAAGAUUGCCUUAAGAAGGCUAGCACAAAAGUAGCAACGAUCGAAAAGGCAAGGCCUCCUGCCUGGGACCUCCUAACUACUCCUCGAAGCCGAACUCCAUGUAGAAUCAUCCUCGGGAUCUCUAGCUCCUGGACUCCAGCAUCUGGUUGCGACAAUCCGGUAUAGAAAAGGGAAAAGAGGGAGAAAAGCAACUGUGAGUACUCAUCCAAAGUACUCGCAAGCAAGGAGCUACACUACAUAUGCAUGGGUAUAUGUGUAAAGGACCAUAUCAGUGGACUGAACUGCAGAAUGCCAAAAUAAGAGGGGGAUAGCUAAUCCUGUCGAAGACUACGCUUCUGGCAGCCUCCAUCUUGCAGCAUGUAGAAGAGAGUAGAUUGAAGUCCUCCAAGUAGCAUCACAUAGCAUAAUCCUACCCGGCGAUCCCCUCCUCGUCGCCCUGUUAGAGAGCGAUCACCGGGUUAUAUCUGGCACUUGGAAGGGUGUGUUUUAUUAAGUAUCCAGUUCUAGUUGUCAUAAGGUCAAGGUACAACUCCGGGUCGUCCUUUUACCGAGGGACACGGCUAUUCGAAUAGAUAAACUUCCCUGCAGGGGUGCACCACAUAACCCAACACGCUCGAUCCCAUUUGGCCGGACACACUUUUCUGGGUCAUGCCCGGCCUCGUAAGAUCAACACGUCGCAGCCCCACCUAAGCACAACAGAGAGGUCAGCACGCCGGUCUAACUCCUAUGCGCGCAGGGGUCUGGGCCCAUCGCCCAUUGCACACCUGCACGUUGCGUACGCGGCCGGAAGCAGACCUAGCUUAGUGGCGUUCCAGUCCAAUCCGGCGCGCGCCACUCAGUCGCUGACGUCACGAAGGCUUCGGCUGAUACCACGAUGCUGGGAUACCCAUAACUACUACUCCCGCGUAGAUGGUUAGUGCGUAUAGACCAAAUGGCCAGACUCGGAUCAAAUACCAAGAACUCGUUAAGCGUGUUAUGUCGAAGUAACCGCGGACGCCGUCCAGGGCCAGGCCCACCUCUCACCUAGGCGGUCUCAACCUGCCCUGUCGCUCCGCCACAAAGAUCCACUUGCGGGUACUCCUACGAGCCGACCCGACUUUAGUCACCACCCGUGUCAUGUAUAUAGUAUAUAAGUAUAUACCCGUGAUCACCGCCCAAGUGUUCACGGGCCGAUAGUAUAGCACAGCAGACGGACAAGAAUGUAGGGCCACUGAUGGAAAACUAGCACCCUAUACUAAGCAGUAGGAUAGCAGGUAAGGGAAACAACUGUAGCAACAAUGACAGGCUAUGCAACAGAAUAGGAUUAACCGAAAGCAGUAACAUGCUACACUACUCUAAUGCAAGCAGUAGAGAGUAGAGUAGGCGAUAUCUGGUGAUCAAGGGGGGGGGGCUUGCCUGGUUGCUCAGACAAGGAGGGGUCGUCUUCGAUGUAGCCGAACACACGAACAGCGGCAGCGGUCUCGGAGUCUACCGCAAAGAAGUAACGGAGGGGGAACACAAUAAAUAACAGAGCAAUCAAAUGUAACACAAAGCAAGACAUGGCGAUACAUUGUGCUAGGGGUGACCUAACGUAGGGAUAGGUGGUACUGGCGAAGGGGUGAAACAUCGGGGAAAGUAUCCCCGGUGUUUUGCGUUUUCGAACAAAUGAACCGGAGGGGGAAAGUUGCGGGUUUACUAUGCUAGGGAUGUGUGGCAGACGAACAGACUGCGUAUUCCGAUUCGUCUCAUCGUUCUGAGCAACUUUCAUGUACAAAGUAUUUUAAUCCGAGCUACGGUUUAUUUUAUAUUAAUUUUUCAAAGUUUUAAUUGAUUUUCUAAUACUAUGAUUAUUACUAUGAAAAUAAUCAGCAAAUGCUACGAGUACACAGAAGUGCACCCACCACUAUGCACAUGCGGCUGACAGAUGGGCCAGAGGGCCCAGUUGACCAAGUCAACAGAGACUAGUCAACCAGUGAAUAGUAGAAGUGGGUCCGCAUGUCAUUGUCUCUAACUUUAGUAGUUUAGAAAAUAAAAUCUUGCUUAAUUAACAGCGGGGCCCAUCUGUCAUUGAGUUAUAUUAUGCUAAUUACCUAAUUAACUAAUUAAGUAAUUAAUUAGCAUACUAAUUAUUUUAUUUAACAUUUAAAUUCGUUCAUUUCUUUUUUUGUCCUUAACAGCCCUUGGUGGUCAGGGGCACAACCGGCCAAACACACGCUCACGCACACACGACUGUGGGCGAGGCCGUGGCCGGAGCGUGGUUGGCAGGUGACCGGCGGCCAGCGAGCGCUGGGUAGGGCGAACACGGGCGUGGCGCGAGCGGGGAAGGGACGCGGCGGCGCCGGCGGAGUGCACAGGGGCGCGGCGACGCACGACGGCCAGGCACAGCAGCAGCCCUGCGCACGGGCGAGCAUCGGCAGGGGAGGUGCGAAACGGCGGGUGGGGUAGGGGACAGGGGUGGCUGGCGUGCUGAGCGCGGCGGCAGCAACCGCGGGCGAGGCUGUAGGGAGCGAGGCGCGCGGGCUGCGAGGUUGGCGAUGGCCAAGCACGACGGUGGAUGUGCGGGACGGCGGGGAAAGGGAAGCAGGGGGAAUGGGGUUCUCACCCCCGUUGCAAGGGAGUUUGGCGGCGAGGCGUGAUGGCGCCGACGGGGAGGAGGACGAGGCGGACGGCGGUGAGGUCCGGGGUCGGCCGGCGAUGGAGAGGCAGGGCGGGGCAGUCCGGCGAGCGACGAGGUGGGGCGUCGGGGUGGCGCCGGGGACGAGCGCNNNNNNNNNNNNNNNNNNNNNNNNNNNNNNNNNNNNNNNNNNNNNNNNNNNNNNNNNNNNNNNNNNNNNNNNNNNNNNNNNNNNNNNNNNNNNNNNNNNNNNNNNNNNNNNNNNNNNNNNNNNNNNNNNNNNNNNNNNNNNNNNNNNNNNNNNNNNNNNNNNNNNNNNNNNNNNNNNNNNNNNNNNNNNNNNNNNNNNNNNNNNNNNNNNNNNNNNNNNNNNNNNNNNNNNNNNNNNNNNNNNNNNNNNNNNNNNNNNNNNNNNNNNNNNNNNNNNNNNNNNNNNNNNNNNNNNNNNNNNNNNNNNNNNNNNNNNNNNNNNNNNNNNNNNNNNNNNNNNNNNNNNNNNNNNNNNNNNNNNNNNNNNNNNNNNNNNNNNNNNNNNNNNNNNNNNNNNNNNNNNNNNNNNNNNNNNNNNNNNNNNNNNNNNNNNNNNNNNNNNNNNNNNNNNNNNNNNNNNNNNNNNNNNNNNNNNNNNNNNNNNNNNNNNNNNNNNNNNNNNNNNNNNNNNNNNNNNNNNNNNNNNNNNNNNNNNNNNNNNNNNNNNNNNNNNNNNNNNNNNNAGAUCGGGGAGAGGGGGGCGCCAAGGAAAGUGGGGGGGAUCGGGUGCGUGGGGUAGGUUAGGGUUUGGGGGAGGGAGUGGAUAAGGGGGAGUGGGGGAGGUGCGCGGCAGGGUGGGCCGGCCUGGCGGCCCGGUGGGUUGCGGCCUGGUGGGCCAAAGCCCAAUUGGCCGGGGGUUUUCUUUUCAUUUUUUGUGUGUUUCUUUUCUGUUUUAUUUUAGUUACAUUUUAUUUUAGUUUUGUAAAAUGCCAAAUGAGCACCUAAAUUAGUAUUACUAAUUAGUCCACUGCCACAAUUAACUUGGCACCUAAAAUAAAAUAUUUUGUAAUUGUUGAGUAUUUAAAGUAUUUAAAUAAUACUUUGCUACCGUUUUAUUACCAUUUGAAUAUUUGAACAUUUUAUAAAAGUGUGGUUCUCCACCAUAAUUAUCUAAGCAUUAUUUGGCACAACCCGAACAUUUUAGUUUUAAAGUUUGAAAACUUUUGUUGUUUGCCUUUUAUUCAAUUUUGAAUUUGAAUUGGUUUUUGAACUAACGUGGGAUUAACUACAGUGUCAGAGGUGACGUGGCAUCAAUAGCAGGGAAUUACUGUAGUCUAAUUCUCCGGGCGUCACAUCCAGUCCGGCCAGCGCACACUAAACCCUAGCUGUUGAAGCCGUUCCAGCAGGUAUUCCCAGGAGACGGUGUCGAACUCCUUUGCUAUGUCUAACUUUACCAACAGUCCUGGCGCUUUGCAACGGUGGAGGGCGCGUACAGAGUUCUGUAUAAACAAAAAGCUGUCGUGGAUGCACUUCGACUUCAGGAAUGCCGUUUGCGCCGGUGAGAUGAUGGAGCCAAUGACUGACGCCAAUCUAAUCGAGAGAACCUUGGAGAUGAGCUUGGUUAUUGAAUGGAUCAAACUGACGGGCCUGAAGUGGGUGAUCUCCGUUGCCCCAUCCUUUUUUGGUAGGAGAAUGAUUGUAGCGUUGUUGAUCGCCGACAUGUCGCCGCCUCAGAGAUUGUAGAACUGGUGGAAGACGGCCAUGACGCCAGUCUUGAUGAUGGACCAGCACGAGCGGAAGAAGGUGCCAUUGAAGCCGUCCGGCCCCGGGGCCUUCUCUUGCGGAGAUUUGCAGAUCGCCGCCCACACCUCAUUCUCGGUGAAGGGGUUGUCGAGGCCGGCUGCCGGCAAGGAUGGCAGGUGAAUGGCCUCCUAGUUGAUGGUACGGCUGCGAGGCGGUUUUGUGCCCAGCGAGGAUCGGAAGUGCUCAUGAAUGAUCCGCUCCUUGUCGCUGUGGGAGGUGACAAUGGAGUCUCUGGUGUGUAGGGCAUGGAUGAAGUUUUUUUGGCGCCGCGAGUUGAUUUUUGCCUGGAAGAACGCCAUCUUGGCGUCACCCGCGCGUAGCCAGGUGACGCGCAAGGCCUAUCUCUUACGCACCCUCUCGAUGGCGGCGAGUCCAAGGACUCGCAUCUUGAGCUUUUUCCGCAGCUGGAGUUCAUCUACUGUUAGUUGUCUACUCUCCUGAGCUAUGUCGAGGCGGAGCACGAUCUCAUUUGCGAUAUGCAUUUGAAGCUUUGUCUCACUGAAGAAGCCCCUAGCCCAAAUCUUCAGGUCUCAGGCCACUCGUGUGAGCUUUGUGCUGAUUCUCUUGAAAGCACAGCUAGAGGCGACUUACGCCCUCUGCACCGUAGUGUGGAAACGAGGAAAUCUCGGCCAAAAGGACUCGAAGCGGAAGCGAGCCGCGCGGCGAGGGGCCGCCGCCUCCGACAGCAGCAACGGGUAGUGGUCAGAACAUGAGGUGGAUGCGGCGUUAAGGAGGUAGGAGGGAAACAUGGAGGCCCAGGCCAUGGUGCAAAAGAAUUUAUCUAUGCUGACAAGGGUUGGAGACGCGCGCUCGUUACUCCACGUAAAUCUUCUAUUCUUGCACUUGAUCUCCUUCAGCCCUGCCGCAUCGAUCGCCGCAUGGAAUUUUCCCAUGAUCCUACGGUUUAUGUUGGUGUUGUUUUUGUCGCGCGCCUCGUAGAUCAGGUUGAAGUCGCCGUUGAUGAGCCAGGGGCGUUUGACGGCGGAGCAGGCCGUGCCAGCUCGGCCAGGAAAUCAUCCUUCCUUCCAUCGUCGACCGGCCCGUAGACUGUCGUCAGCCAGAACGUAGCACCGCUAGCGAUGAUGGUGAUCCUGGCGGUAAUGGAGAAGCAGCCGACGGCCUGCGAUAGCACCUGUACUCGAUUCUUGUCCCAGAAGAUUGCGACGCCUCCCCUCAUGCCCGCGGCAGGGAGGACGACGUAGUCGUCUAGCCGCGCUCCUCCAGUUUCCCUAACUAGUGCCCUGGUCCAUUCAUCGAUCUUCGUUUCCUGUAGGCAGAGGAUGGCGAGUCUAUGCAUCUCCGCCGUCUCCAAAACUACUUCUCGCGGGCCGGCGAGUUCAAACCCCGCACAUUCCAGCUCAUUAUCGGGCAGUUUGUGUCACUCAUGGGGAAACAGAAGAUAUCUCCGACAACUACUACUACUUGAAAUUAAACACGGGUACACCAUCAUCGGGCCGGGGGGUCGCCGGCGGCCACCAACAGGCCCCAAAUUCCGCCGGCGAACAACUACACCUCGCUCGCUAAGGAGACCUAUACUAUUACAAUGCAUGAUGAAACCUAACUCAACCCAGCCCAGUGCAUGGGGUCGCCGGAUACUGCUACCACUAGGGAACACUAACAUGGAGAGGUGGUGGCCUGCGAGGCCUCUCCGUCUGGACCGUGCAUGCCCGCGGCUAUCUUGAGCGCCGCGGCGUCGAGGUUGGUGAGUUUCGCAAUGGCCUUGAUGUCAGAGUCGGACAGGGGCUCGUCGAAUCAGCGGAUCAGCGCCUCCACCGCCUUGGCCAUCAUGGUCUCUUUGGGCCCGAGGAUGCCGAGGCCGUGGACGAUGCGGAGUGUUGCCCGCUGGCUGACCGGAACGGUGAACGGGUUUUUCGCCUGACGGGCGCUCUGGCGAGACGGCGCCGCGGCAGGCCUGGAGCAGGAAGGCGUCUUGGCGCGGGCGGGAGGUUUGCCGAGCGCGGAUGGCGCGGCGUUGACGAACAGUUGUCACGCGUCACCCUCCCCGUUCGCGUCAGCAAUCUGCAGGUGGCACACCUGGGAGGUCACCGCGCCGAGCUGCACGGAGUGAGUGGUGGCCGGCCUAGGAGUGUGGCGGGCGAGCGAGAGGGCCGGACCCAUGUCGAUGUCGUCGUCGAUGCCGCUGCCAGCUCCCGCCUGGUCGGUGAAGCUAAGCGGCUUGUCCAUGGUGGCCGCUGCCGCCCUGUCCACUGCCGCCGCCCUCGUGUCCACCCUCGGCGGAGGCGGCAGCUCCUUGUCGACUUCGUCGAAGAAAGCGACCACCGGGUCGUCGUCCUGCGCGUUGCCCGAAGCCUGGGGCAGAGGCCGGGGAGGCGCGAGCAGCUGGUUGGAAGAGGUCGCAGGCGUGCGUGAGGAGGACGCACCGCGGGAGCGGCUUGAACCAGCCCCUCCCCCAGAGCGGUGCCUCCUGGGGGCGUGGUCGGAGCGCCUGUCCUUGAAGGGGCCAUGUCCGCGGCGCGAGGUUGGGGUGCGGCUGCGGCGGCGCUCAGGAGCGGGGGGUGGCACGGCUGACUCCUUGCCGCGGCUUCGCCCGAGGAGCGUGUCCUUGCAUGACCUCUGCUGGCCGCCACUGUCAUCGCCGUCGUGGCUGCGCCUGUGGCCCACCGAUGGCAUUCCCCUGCACCCCGAGGACGCGACUUGCGCGGGCGGGCGCAGGCGCGGCCCCAGGUCCUGCACCGGCCUGCCGUCCUCCACGCCAGCCACCCAGCCCCCCGCGUGGGGGUAGCGCGGAUACGGGCGGUCGUCAUCGUCGGAGGACGGGAGGCCGCUUUGCCCGGAGUAGGAGGAGCGCGGGGACAGGGGCGCCCAGUCUUCGACCCGGUCGAUGUGCACCAGCACAUCCCAUCGCAGCAGGUUCGGCGGUGGCGCGACGGCCCGGCUAGGGGGCGAGAAGCCGAUCAUCUCCUCCACCCGGCCGGCACCUCUGGCGUGCUUCCACAGGGUUCACUUGGUGGGGAUGUGGUGCAGCUGCCACACCCACACCCAGACGGCGAACAGCUUCGUGUCCGCACGCUCGAACGUGCGGCUGUCGAGACGGUCGAUGAUGACCGCGUCGCCCAGCGCGUCCUUCGCGCCCUCCAGGGUCCAGAGCUGCAUCGACAGCUUCUCCAUGACGACGCGGACAUGCAGCAUCCAGGUGUCGUGGAUGGCGUGCGUGUCCUCCCUCCAUGGCUCCAGCAGGAAGGAGACACCAUCCACCACGAUCGAGCCCCUCCGAACGGCGAGGUCCUUGUGGGCUGGCAUGGUGAAGUGGAUGAAGAAGUCUUCUGGGUCGUGGCUGGUGACGCGGAGGAGGUGCGCGGGGAUCUGGAACUCCCGCUCGAUGGCGCGGCCGAUGGAGAGGGGACUGGCCGCGUGCAGCUUGCUCACCGCGGUGACCACCACCGCGUGCUGCUGCAGCAGGAAGAUCUGCUGCUCCAUCUCCGGGGUGGAGGCGAUCACCUUGUGGCUGGUUCUCGGCCGGCGCCCGUGGUCGACGCAGGGGGCGCCCGGCGGAGCUAUCUCCGGCGGAGGAGGGCUGGCCUGGGCAGGGAAGACCAGCCGAUCUCGCACCGGACGAGCCUGGAGCCCGUCCCCCUUCUGGUUCCUCCGGUUCUGGGGGCACUCCUUGCCGAUGUGGCCCGGGCGCUUGCAGAUGAUGCAGUGGAGGGGGUCGUGGAAGUCGACGUGGCGGUGGUGCAGGCUGAGGCAUCGAAAACAAAGGCCUCUGAACUUGCUUAAGAAGGCCUCGCGACCCGGCGCAGGGGGGCAGCGCCCGGAUCCGGACCCGCGGCGAUGUCCCGAGCGGACCGGCGGGUAUUUUCUAGCCUUCUUGCUUCUGCGGGACUGGUACAACGUCCAUCCAUCAUCAAUGGCGGUCGNNNNNNNNNNNNNNNNNNNNNNNNNNNNNNNNNNNNNNNNNNNNNNNNNNNNNNNNNNNNNNNNNNNNNNNNNNNNNNNNNNNNNNNNNNNNNNNNNNNNNNNNNNNNNNNNNNNNNNNNNNNNNNNNNNNNNNNNNNNNNNNNNNNNNNNNNNNNNNNNNNNNNNNNNNNNNNNNNNNNNNNNNNNNNNNNNNNNNNNNNNNNNNNNNNNNNNNNNNNNNNNNNNNNNNNNNNNNNNNNNNNNNNNNNNNNNNNNNNNNNNNNNNNNNNNNNNNNNNNNNNNNNNNNNNNNNNNNNNNNNNNNNNNNNNNNNNNNNNNNNNNNNNNNNNNNNNNNNNNNNNNNNNNNNNNNNNNNNNGGUGGGGAGGCAGGAGAACGGGGCGGAUCCGUCGGCGGCAUGGGAUGCCCCGGCAUCGCGGGCGGGGCGGCGCGGGUGGGGAAGGGGUGGGGGUGGGGGGGGUGGCCGCCGCGGCCGGAGUGGCCAGCGGCGCGGAGUGGGGAGGAGCGUAGCUAGGCUCGAUAGGAAUUGUAGUCGCAGUUGACCAUCCAAACGGAACAGUAGGAGUAGAAUUUAAGCAUGAGCAGCGGUACCGGUAAAAGAGAAGCCUCUCCCACUGGAAAAUGCUGUUUGACGAGGAAGGAUCUCUCGACUUUUUUGUGUGUGGUGCGUGAUCUCUUGACCUAUUUGUUUUUCUACACUGUCUCUACUUUCACAAAUUAAGCUUGGUCUAACACCACCCUAACACUCUACCUUAAACGCACAGAAACACAGCUAUUUCUGCAUAAAGAAGACGUCAAAGUCAAAUGUGUGGAAGGACUGAAGUACAUUUUUCUUCAUAUUUUUCUAAAGUUCUGACUGCAGCGCAAGAAAUUUCACAUUAGGUUCGUCAUUUUGAACAUGUCAAUGCAAAUGUUUGAGAUUUUUCAGCACACAUGGCAACCAUGGAGAAAACAUCAUAAAAUUCAAAAGGUUCAAAUUUUGAGAAACAUCAAGACAAGUGAAAAAACAUGAUUCUAAAAGUAGUAGGAGAUACUAUAAAAUUCUAAAAAAUAGAGGAAGAUUGCAAAUGUUUUCUUAGUAACACAACAUUGAAGGAAAACUAGAAAUAGUGAAAACAUUAUUAUUAUUUAUUUUUGAAUAUUCAAACGGAUAAAAAAAGUAUUCCAAAAAUUAUGAUGCAAAAGCAACACCGAACUACUUUAUUCAAGGAACCGGAAAGAGCAUUGCCUUUCCUUCUAGACCAAAAGAGAUGAUAUGUACAUGCAUGAUGCGUUUUUUUCAAAACCCUAUAAACGAUCCAAAACCCAACAAAAAAUUAGCUAAUACCAUCACUCAGUUGGGCAUGGCCACAAGCCAUGUCCCUCUGCUUGUUCCAAUCGAAGGCCAACGUUGCCACCUCAAAAUGCGUGAGACGAUAUUACUAAAGAUGCAUCGGUUUCACUCGUUUCAAAGAUUUCAAAUCAUGUAGAGCACCCUACCACUCCGAUGGCGAUAGUAUCUCUUUCGAGGUUGUAGAAAUCAUCAAAUCCUACCACCCCAAGACUCCCAUGGAGGGGACAUAGAAGGGAUAUGCACAUGGUUAACCAUAAUAGUGUGCCUCUGGUCAUGUGCACAAUUGUUUCAGGCUCCUAGAGAUUGGGUAGCCUUUCGGCGCUACGAAACUAUUUCGUGUAGUGGCUAGAGAGAGAGAGAGAGAGAGAGAGAGAGAGAGAGAAGAGAGAGAUCAUUGCAUGCCAUUUGGUGAGAGCUCAAAGGCUCAAGUUCCAGUGUGUAUGGUGGCUGCCCUCCUCUUCUAUUUAUAGGAGAAGGGGUGGAGGAGUCAUAAGGGGGGCAACAAAGAAAGCUCUACAAAAAGGGGGAGCUUGCGCCCCCUUCCACCUAGGAGCCUCCACAUGGGGGGCUUCCCCCAAGGCCCCCCUCCCAACACUCUUGCUACUCCCGUAGGAGUUGUUGGGAUUUCCUUAUUCCCUAAAGAGGAAGGGUGAUGUAGCCCAAAACCAAAGUAUUUCCCUCAGUUAAGAACCAAGAUUUAAUCGAACCAGUAGGAAUCAGCAAGCAAUAGAAUAAGCAGUACCUACACACAAACAAAAAAA
rnacentral:lncRNA from 1 species